GAGAUAGAAUUCCAUGAAGUGAUUCCAGUGAGCGUGGGUUGAGUCCAAUGCUCAGAACUUAUGAGCACUCAUGAUUGUUGUAGCCUUGUCCAACACCUUAGACCUCUACAACCCAUCAUGACAGUCUUGAUUCAUACCUACUUCCGACAUAUGACCGACUGUGGAGGUUUGAAUAAUAUGUUACACCAAACAAAAUUAUUCUGGAAGUCAAAACAUGCAAAAGAAAUAUAGUAAACGAUUGACAAGAGAUAGCAACACUUUACUCAUAAAUAAAACACCUUUUAUUCAUCAUCAAAUGUCAAUUACACUUUACAAAUUUCUGGGUUAUCUAACUACUAAAACUUAUAUCAUCCUUCAGCCCUAUGCUCCGAGCAUGCUGGAGAUGCUUAACCCUACUCAGUCCCUUCGUGAGGGGAUCUGCUGGGUUCUCAUCCGAUGAUACCCUCUUUGCCACGAGGAGUCCUUCUUCGAUCCGAUGUCUAAUGAAAUGGUAUUUUCUGUCGAUGUGUCUGGAUCUCCCAUGAUCCCUUGGUUCCUUGGCUAAGGCAACAGCACUUUCACUAUCACAGAAAAUUUCCAUUGGCUCUUUAAUAGCUGGUACAACUCCAAGGUCUCCAAUGAAGUUCUUCAGCCAUAUCGCCUCCUUUGCUGCUUCGCUAGCUGCAAUAUACUCUGAUUCACAAGUAGAAUCUGCCACUGUCUCUUGCUUGGAACUCUUCCAAGAAAUUGCUCCUCCGUUUAGGGUAAAGACCCAGCCCGACUGAGAGCGGAAAUUAUCCCUAUCAGUCUGGAAGCUAGCAUCACUAUACCCUACAACUCUCAAGUCAUCACUCCCACCGAGGGUAAGGACCCAGUCCUUAGUCCUCCGUAGGUACUUGAGGAUAUUCUUUACCGCAGUCCAGUGUGCCUUGCCAGGGUUCGCCUGAUACCUGCUAACCAUGCUCAAGGCAAAAGCUACAUCGGGUCGAGUACACGUCAUAGCAUACAUGAUCGAUCCUACAGCCGAAGCGUAAGGUGUUCGACUCAUUUCUGCUAUCUCAGCCUCAGUGCUAGGGCUUUGUGUCUUACUCAAUCUGGUGUUACUCUGGAUGGGUAACUCUCCUUUCUUGGAAUCCUGCAUGCUGAAUCUCUUCAGCACCUUAUCCAAGUAGGUACUCUGACUAAGUCCAAUUAGUCUUUUACUCCGAUCUCUCAAGAUUCUUAUCCCUAGAAUAUAGGCAGCUUCACCAAGGUCCUUCAUAGCGAAACACUUCCCAAGCCAGGACUUUACUUCCUGCAGGGUUGGAAUGUCGUUUCCUAUGAGUAGUAUGUCAUCCACAUACAAUACCAAAAAGCUAACUAUACUCCCACUAGCCUUGACAUACACACAAGAUUCAUCUUCACUCCUAGAAAAGCCAAAUUCCUUGACCUUUUCAUCAAAGCAAAGAUUCCAUCUGCGAGGUGCUUGCUUCAAUCCAUAAAUGGAUUUCUCAAGCUUACACACUCUAUUAGGGUACUCGUUGCUGACAAAACCCUCUGGCUGACUCAUGUAAACAUCUUCAGCCAACUUUCCAUUAAGGAAAGCGGUUUUGACAUCCAUCUGCCAUAUUUCAUAGUCAUGAAAUGCAGCUAUGGCUAACAGAACCCGAAUAGACUUAAUCUUGGCUACCGGAGAAAAGGUCUCAUCAUAAUCCACUCCAGGAAUUUGAGAGAAGCCCUUUGCAACCAGUCUAGCCUUAUAAGUGUGUACUUUACCAUCCAUGUCGGUCUUCUUCUUGAAGACCCAUUUGCACCCUACUGUCUUACGACCUGGUACAUUUUCAACCAAGUUCCAAACUUGAUUGUCAUACAUGGAUUGUAUCUCGCUAUCCAUAGCCUCUUUCCAUUUAGCAGACUCGGGGCCUGCCAUGGCUUCCUCGUAGCUGUUAGGGUCAUCUUGACUUACUAGUGUCUCAUCACUAAUAAGUGUCUCACCUUCUGCAGUAAUAUGGAAUCCAUAGUAAUGCUCAGGUGCACUCCUAACUCUCGUGGAACGUCUCAGAGGUACAGAUUUGUCAAUUGGCUCAACAGGAGUUUCCUCCUCAAGUUGAGGGCUAGAGUUUGAAGUUCCUUCACCGCUUGAUUCUUGAAUUUCUUCAAGAUCAAUUUGCCUCCCACUGUCUCCUUGGCUUAUAAACUCUCUUUCUCGAAAGACUCCUCUUCUUGCUACAAAGACCACAUUGUCACUAGGUCUGUAGAAGAGGUAACCAAAGGAUCGCUGUGGGUAACCGAUGAAAAUACACCUCUCGCUUCGAGGUUCGAGCUUAUCAUGAGUCUCGCGUCUCACGAAAGCCUCGCAACCCCAAAUCUUGAUGUGGUCUAGUUUAGGUACUUUACCAGUCCACAUCUCGUGAGGAGUUUUGGCAACUUUCUUUGUAGGGACUAGAUUAAGAAUAUGGGCGGCAGUCUCUAAGGCAUACCCCCAGAAUGAGAUUGGUAGCGUAGCUCGACUCAUCAUGGAACGAACCAUAUCUAACAAGGUUCGAUUACGCCUCUCAGCCACACCAUUCAACUGUGGUGUCCUGGGAGGUGUCAAUUGUGAGACUAUCCCACAUUCCCUUAGAUAGUCGAGGAACUCUGAACUAAGAUACUCACCACCACGAUCGGAUCGAAGCAUCUUAAUGUUCCUGCCCAAUUGAUUCUCGACUUCCUGUUUAAAUUCCUUAAACCUCUCGAAAGUCUCUGACUUAUGCUUGAUCAAGUAGACAUAUCCAUAUCUACUAUAAUCAUCAGUAAAAGUCAAAUAAUAACGAUUAGCAUCCCUUGUGGCAUGUUUGAAUGGUCCACACACAUCCGUGUGUAUAAGGUCCAACAAACCUUCACCCCUCUCACACGAACCUGUGAAGGGUGACUUUGUCAUUUUUCCAAGUAAGCAUGAUUCGCAACUAUCAUCUGACUUUAGGUCAAACGACUCCAAGACUCCAUCCUUUUGGAGUUGGCCUAUGCGUUUCUUGCUUAUAUGUCCAAGACGACAAUGCCAUAAAGAUGCUUUAUCCAAGUUAUUAUUAGUAGAAUCAAUACACAAAACAUUAUUUCCCAAGUUAUCUACAACAGAUACAGCUUCAUACACACCAUCACAAGGUAAUGCUUUAAAAUAAAAGACAUUAUUAUAGAAAACAUCUAUAGAACCAACUUCAUUAUUAAAUGAAAAGGUAAACCCUUGUUUGUACAAAGCAUGAAAGGAAAUAAUAUUUCUUGCCAUUCCUGGCGAAUAACAACACUUAUUCAAAUCUAAACUAAACCCACUACUUAGCGAUAAAGUAUAAACUCCAAUCUUGGUAACAGGUAUAGCUUUCCUAUUCCCCAUGAUCAAGUUUAUCCUUCCUUGCUCCACAUCCUCACUUCUUCUUAGUCCCUGCAAGUCACAACAAAUGUGAAUACCACACCCGGUAUCAAGGACCCAAGAAUUAGAAUGGGGUGAGUUAUUAGAAAUGAUAGUGUAAAUACCUGCAUGGUUGGGUUUAACUUUCCCAUCCUUCACAUCUUGCUGGUAUUUUGGGCAGUUCCGCUUCCAAUGAGCUUUUUCAUGGCAAUAGAAGCAUUCAGCCUCUUUUGGGUCAGAAGAAGGAGUAAUGAAACCUUUCUUGGUUCCACUUGAAGAAGAGCCAUCAAGGGUCCGAACCUUGGUACCCUUAGAAGAGCUCUUUCUCUUCCUCCCUCGACUUUUCCCGAUUGCCAAAACCGGAGUAGAGUUUUGAGUAGGAGUGAUAGCAACCGACUUCCCCUUAAGACCUGAUUCUGCGGUCUUGAGAAGUCCCUGAAGUUUGCUGAGGGUGACUUCUUCCUUGUUCAUGUGAUAUGUCAUGCGGAAUUGAUCAUAGCACGAUGGUAAGGAAUGCAAAAUAAUAUCUAUUGCAAGAUCCUCCGGGAAGUUCACAUUAAGCUUCAGCAAACGAUCCACAUACCUUUGCAUUUUCUGCAUGUGGCUCGUGACGGAUUCCCCGUCCUUCAUCAUGGUUGUUAUCAUGGAGCAGAUGAUUUCAUACCUCUCUUGUCUUGCACUUUGAUGGUAUCUUUCCAUCAAAUCUUGGUGCAUUUCAUAAGGGUAGAAAUCCUCAUAAGACUUUUGGAGUUCCGCUGUCAUCGUGGCCAUCAUGAUGCAAGCCACUUUCGUAGCAUCCCUUUCAUGUGCCCGAAAUUCAGCGAUCUCCUGAGGAGUUGCAGUGGACUCAUCAAUCUCCUUAAGCUCCUUGUCAAGGACAUAUUCUUUGUCCUCGUAGCGGGUAAUCAUCCUGAUGUUUCUGAUCCACUCAUUGAAGUUGGAUCCAUCAAAGGUGACUUUCCCACACAAGUUCAUAAGGGUAAAGGAGCCAUUAGGAUUAGAGCCAGAAGCAUUGUUGAAAGACAUCUGAAGGAAAGAGGACAAGAUUAGUUUAGAUAUAAGAGAGUCCUUAAUAAAACACCCAAAUGUAAUAUUAAGGCUAGGAUCCAAUCACAAUAUAAUAUAACUUAGAAGAGGUAUGCCGUAAUCUAAGCUAUAUCAUAUUUGAAAGGUAGGUGAAUGACGAUUCACCAAUUUCCACCACGAAAACCGCAAUAUUUUAGUAUUAGGUUUUUGAAUGGUUCUUAGAAAUUCCUAGAUUCUUUGAGAUUCAAUGAACUUUUCAAAGGCAUGUUUCAAUCUCGAGUGUGCCCUCCAAGUUUUGUGACUGGGAUACCGAGGAUCACAAAACGAGGUGUGAAGUAACCAUGCAAAUCACUUGGUACCCUUAAAGUUUAUCACUCAAUCGAUGUGCCGGUUAACCACACACGCUCCAUCGAUACUAUAAUAAACCCUAAGUCACCCUUUACCUACCUUGUUAAGUCCAAGUUAGUGUGCCGGUUAACCACACACGCUCCACCAACGACUUAAUCAAAGUGUAAAGUGUAAUUUCAUGGAAUAGCACCUUAUUCACAUUUUUCCUAAAGUAACUAAGAUUGGGAAUUUAAUAAAACAUUUAGUUACUUUAUAAUAUUCAUCAUACUUUGAAUGAGAAUUAAUAAGUCCUUGUCUUACCCGUUCGGCUAACGACCCUCCACCGAUCAAGCAAGCGGUGGGUGAGAGUGGACACCCAUUAAGUCACCAUUUUAUAGGCAACAACCUUAUACCCACCUUAUAGACCGGCUUCGUGAAUGAGGCGUACUAGCGGUAAGACGACUUUGUUCUUAUACAUAUAUAUAUAAUUAUUAAAUCAUAAUAAUAUAAGUAUAAGGGUUGAAUUUUAACUUUUAAAAUUCUAGGGGUUGGAACUAAAGUUUUAACUUAACUUUACUUGUUCCAAAACUUGAGGGCAAGUUUUGUAAACUUUCAAAACUUUUCAUUUCUUGUAACUUAUGAGUUUAAUAGAGUAAUAAAAUGAGGACUUUUCAUUUUUCCUAACUCUUGUGUUCUUUUAAUGGUUUUUAAUCCAAGAGACUUUUGGUUUUCCAUAACUUGAGGACAAGUUAUGGACUCCAUUAAAACACAUUAUGAUCAUGAAUUAAUCUACCACAUAGGUUACAAAUAAUUCCUAUGAUCAUCUAAACAUCAUAAGAACAAGAAUAUGAAUAUGAACACUUUCAAGAAUCAAAAUCACAUUUAAUCUUUGUAAUUUUGAUAACUAGUUGUUGUAAAUGAGUUAGAAAAGACAUUACACCUUCUAAAAUAAGUUUUCAAGUACCAAAACAUUUUAGGGUAAUGAUUCUAAUCCAUUUCCAGCAACUCAAGUCGAAAUUCUGCACUCUGUCGACCCUACUCGCCGAGUGCAUAAACCUACUCGCCGAGUAGGUUGAAGAUACACAUGAACUCGACGAGUCCUCCCCAUGGACUCGCCGAGUCCAUCAGUCAGACAGCAAGAUUUUCGACUUUCUUCAACUUUUAAGCACAAAUAACAAACAAACAAGCCUAGGCUCUGAUACCACUGAUGGGUUUUGAGCAUUCUAACACUUCCUAAGUGUACAUGCAACCCUAAUAACCUUGGAUCUAUGUUUGUCUAAUUAUCAUGCAAAGUUGAAUUCCAAGGUUAUAUUCCUAUCUAGCAUACAUGGGGAACAAUUUUAACUUGAAUCAUAGAUAGAAUAACUUACCUUGUUGUUGCUUGUGUUCCUUGAAACCUUGUGAGCCUAGCACCCCAAGUGUGAUGCCUCAAAUGCUUCACACAACACCAAAUGCUCUUGGAAAGACUCUUGAGAUAACACACACUUCUCAAAAUCGGCCAAGCCCUCUAGUUUCUUUUUGUCUAGCUUGUGUGGCCGAUUUUGUGGAGAAUGGGACUCUUAUAUAGUGUUGACACAUCUAGGGUUACACCAUGUAAACCCUAAUGUGUCAUGACUCUUCAUUUUCAUGACCCAUGGGUUUGUAACUCCCAUGGAGCAUCCAUGGAGCAUCCUAUGGGUAGAACCCAACUUGAUAAUCCAUGGAGCCUCUUAGCCCACUAUACAAGAUAUGGAUGAUUUACAUAAUCAACCCAUAUAUUUAAUUAGUUAUCCUUUGAUCACUUAAUUAAUUCCAAAUUAAUUCUUUGAUCAACUAAUCAAAUAAUAUUAUUAAUAUAUUAGAACUUAUAAUAUAUAAUAAUCUCCAAGUGUUAUUCCUCUCAUUUAGUCUAACCAAUUGCAUGGUACCAUGCAACCCAAAUGGACCAUGUCGGGUCGGGUCAAGUACAAGCCCGAAAUAGUUAUGGACUUAGACACCUUAUCCAACACUAAGUGCUCUGAACUAAAAGUAUGCUUUAAAAUAUAAGUAUUUUCAAAAGUAUACAAGUAUACCUAACCGCCGAAAUCCGUAACUACAAGUAGAACAAAACAAAUGUAAAUGGGUGAUGUACGAUGCGGUUAAACCUGGGCAGUUAUGUAGUCGUGUCUAGGGUCAAUAUAGCCUGAUCAACUAUAUUCAUUUGAGACACGGGCAACAUGUGCUUGGGAGUGACUGUGGUAUGCAACAUGCCUAAAACUUACCUAAUACCCAAACAAAGAGCCGUCAUCACAGCGAAUCAUGAAAUACUAUGGGAGUAUUUCUAGAGUCAGAUUCGUUAUGAAAAUCCUCAUUCCAGCGUUUCUCCUUAAUCAUUCUUUUAGCGAUAAUUUAUCUACUUUGAUAACUCUUUCCUGCUUUAUUGCUUAAUAGAAAUCUAUAUCUGUCAUAUCUCUUGAUUCAAUUCAGAGGACUUACCAUCCUCUCUUUCCUGAUCUUUUUAGAUUAAGAUGCCUCAAGAAAGAGACCCAACUCAAAGACCAACAACCCUCCGCCACCACCUCCUCCUCAAUUUGAUCUUGUGAUGUUCCAGGCAGCUGUUACUGCCGCAGUAGCAGCCGCCAUGUCUCAAAUGAACCCCGGUGGUUCCAGUGGUUCGGGAGGUGGUACCCAAACUCAAAACCAAGAAAGUAGCCAGGGAAAACGAAAGGAGUGUUCCUACAAAGACUUUAUGAAUGCGAAACCCACGUCAUUUGAUGGCACUGGAGGUGUCAUUACCCUCACCUGAUGGUUCGAGAAAAUCGAAUCUAUUUUCGACAUCUGUGCCUGCUCUGAAUCCGAUAAGGUGAAGUUCGCCGCCUGCACUUUCACCAAUAAAGCACCGACUUGGUGGAAUGGCCGAGUCAAAUCCCUAACUCUACCUGUAGCCAAUGCUAUGGGUUGGGAAGCCAUGAAGGAACUUCUGCUGGCUGAGUACUGCCCUCGAGGCGAAAUGCAGAAAUUAGAGCACGAACUCUGGAACCUGAAGAUGAAGGGUUCCGAUAUCGCCGCUUACACUUCCAGAUUCGAUGACUUGGCACUACUCUGUCCGGGAAUGGUUACCCCGGAGAGUAAAAAGAUUGAGAGAUUCAUCUGGGGGCUGACCCAGCCAACCAAGGGAAUUGUCUUAGCUGCGAAGCCAGAUACAUACGACAGUGCCAAAAGCCUAGCCCAAAUCCUGAUUGACCAUAGUGAUAACGUUGAGGAGGUAGCUACCACUCUUGAACCGAAAAAGAGGAGUGGUGAGAAAAGAAAAUUUUGGAAGAAAAAUAAGAGUCAGCCUUCUCAAGAGUCCACGAAGAAGCAGCAAACUAUAGCAGUCCAUGCUGCUACUAUCCCUGCUGCUGCUGCUUCUGCCGUGGGAUCCACAGCUCAAACACCUACUAGUAGGUAUGCUGGUAACCUUCCUCAAUGCGACAAGUGCAAAUACCACCAUAACCCCGGCCCUGCCAUGAACUGUCAUGCUCCAACUAUGGUAAAAAGGGGCAUACGAUUCAAUUCUGCAAAGCACCAGCCCAAUCAACCAAUCAAUCUUCUAGAACGGGUGUCGGUCAGGCCUGCUAUAAUUGUGGUGAAGAUGGGCAUUUCAAGAGAAACUGCCCCAAGGCGGCAACAACUGGUAACACUGGGAAAUUCCUAGAUAUGGGACGAGAAGAGGCAGUCGCCGAUCCUACCGUUGUCUCGGGUACGUUCCUUCUCGACAACUCUUAUGCUAGUAUCCUUUUCGAUUCGGGUGCUGAAAGAAGUUUUGUUAGCCAUUCAUUCAAACAUAACCUUAAACAUAAUCCCCAACCAUUAACCGAAACAUUUACCGUCGAGAUGGCUAACGUUGAGAAAGAAAGCGCUAGCGAUGUAUUCAUAGGUUGUACCCUUACCCUAAACGAUCAUUCUUUUCCCAUCGAUCUUAUGCCAGUCUCCAUAAAGAGCGUUGAUGUUAUCAUUGGCAUGGAUUGGUUGAGUCCCAAUCAUGAUGAUAUCCUUUGUAACAAAAAGGCCAUCCGUCUCAAUCUCCCCUCUGGUCAGACUCUCAUGAUCUAUGGCGAUAAGCUUAGCUCCAAUCUUCGCAUCAUUUCCUACAUCAAAGCUCAAAAGCUUCUGCGAAAGGAGUGCCAUGCAUUCCUAUCCCAUGUAAUCAACGAGAAACAGGAAGUUAAAGGGCUUGAGAGCAUCCCCGAAGUAUGUAACUUUCCUGAUGUAUUUCCUGAAGAGCUCCCGGGAAUUCUUCCCGAACGUCAAGUUGAGUUUCAUAUCGACCUAAUCCCUGGAGCUACCCCUGUAGCGAAGUCUCCAUAUCGCUUAACUCCAGCAGAAAUGCAGGAGUUAUCUAGCCAGCUCAAUGAGCUACUCAGCAAAGGGUUCAUCAGACCGAGUUCCUCACCCUGGGGAGCUCCGAUAUUGUUUGUGAAGAAGAAAGAUGGAUCCUUCCGAAUGUGUAUCGAAUACCGUGAGCUGAAUAAGUUGACCGUCAAAAACCGAUAUCCUCUUCCUUGAAUUAGGCCAGGGUACCAUCAGCUACGAGUUCAUGAGAGUGAUGUUUCCAAAAAAGCUUUUAGGACUCGGUAUGGACAGUACGAAUUCGUAGUGAUGCCCUUCGGUCUAACCAACGCACCGGAAGUGUUCUAGGACCUGAUGAACCGGGUGUGUCGUCCUUUUCUGGACAAGUUCGUCACUGUGUUCAUUGACAACAUACUUGUCUACUUCAGAAGCGAAGAAGAUCACAAGCAACACUUAAGGUUAGUGUUGGAAACCCUCAGAUCCGAAAAGCUGUACGCGAAAUUUUCCAAGUGUGAAUUCUGGAUUCGGAAGGUAACCUUUCUAGGUCACGUGGUAAGAGAGGAGGGUAUACACGUGGACCCUACCAAGAUCAAAGCGAUAGAGAAUUGGUCGGCACCGAAGACACCCACAGAAAUCCGUCAAUUCUUGGGUCUCGCCGGCUAUUAUCGGAGAUUUAUCCAGAAUUUUUCCAAAAUCGUCAAACCCUUAACUACUCUGACACAGAAAGGAGUACCCUUUUGUUGGAGUGAAAAGCAAGAAACUGCGUUCCAAACGUUAAAGCAAGCCUUGUGCAGCGCACCUAUCCUGUCCCUGCCUGAAGGGACGGAGGACUUCGUUGUCUAUUUUGAUGCGUCUAAUCAGGGCUUAGGCUGUGUGCUUAUGCAAAGAGGAAAAGUUAUUGCUUAUGCCUCGAGACAGCUGAAGGCACACGAAGUUAACUAUACCACCCACGACCUUGAGUUGGGAGUCGUAGUCUUUGCACUGAAGAUUUGGAGACAUUAUCUCUUCGGAACCAAGUGUAUGAUCUUCACUGACCAUAAGAGCCUACAGCACAUCUUCGAUCAGAAAGACUUAAACAUGAGGCAAUGGUGAUGGGCACAACUGCUCGGUGACUAUGAGUGCGAGAUCCGCUACCAUCCCAGCAAGGCCAAUGUGGUGGCAAAUGCCCUUAGCCGAAAGGAAAGUUCGAGUCGUAAGGUGAACACGCUGACGAUGACUAUCCAUUCUCAUUUAUCCAUGCAAAUCCGAGAAGCCCAGUUGGAAGCCCUCAAACCAGCGAAUGUGUCGAGCGAAUCCUUGAGAGGAAUGGAUAAGAAACUUGAGAUCAGAGGUGAUGGAGUCUACUGUUUCAUGGACCGAAUCUGGAUCCCAAAGUUCGGAGGAUUCAAGGAGGUUGUCAUGGAUGAAGCACACAAGACCAGAUACUCUGUUCACCCAGGUUUGGAUAAGAUGUACAUGAAUCUCAAGAAACAAUACUGGUGGCCAAAAAUGAAAGCCGAGAUCUCUACAUUCGUGGGCAAGUGCCUGACUUGCGCUAAGGUGAAAGUCGAGUAUCGGAAACCCUCGGGUCUACUCCAGCAGCCCGAGAUACCCGAGUGGAAAUGGGAGAUGAUUACCAUGGAUUUCAUCACCAAGUUGCCCAAAUGUCCGAGUGGGUACAAUACCAUUUGGGUAAUUGUCGAUCGCCUGACAAAAUCCGCUCACUUCAUUCUGAUCAAAUAAUCAUUCAAGAUGGAAAGACUCACACGAAUCUACAUCCAAGAGGUAUUUCGACUGCACGGUGUACCUGCAUCCAUUAUCUCUGAUCGGGAUAGCAGGUUUACCUCCAGAUUUUGGCAGUCUCUCCAGUAGGCUCUUGAAACUAAUCUAGACAUGAGCACGGCAUAUCAUGUUCAGACCGAUGGACAGAGUGAGAGAACUAUUCAAUCACUGGAAGACAUGCUGAGAGCAUGUGUCAUCGAUUUCGGAAAGUCGUGGGGACACACAUUUGCCUUUUAUCGAGUUCUCGUAUAACAACAACUACCACACCAUUAUCAAGGCUACUUCGUUCGAAGCCCUCUACGGUUGUAUGUGCAGAUCCCCUCUGUGCUGGGCCGAGGUAGGAGACACACAGCUAGCCAAGAGUCAAGUCCCUGACAGUGCUCUCACGGGUCCUGAAAUCAUCCGUGAAACCACAAACAAGAUCAUUCAGAUCCGAGAACGACUGAAAGCUUCACGACAUCGACAGAAGAGUUACGCCGAUACACGACGGAAACCUCUGGAGUUCCAGGUUGGAGACCGUGUCCUGUUGAAGGUCUCGCCCUGGAAAGGUAUGGUAUGCUUUGGAAAGCAUGGAAAACUUAACUCGAGGUACAUCAGACCUUUCGAGAUCCUCGCCAGGAUCGGGCCCAUAGCCUAUAAACUUCAAUUACCCCAAGAGCUUAGCAACAUCCAUCCCGUCUUCCACGUCACGAAUCUUAAAAAGUGUUUAUCCGACAAAACCCUCAAGAUCCCUCUGGAAGAGAUCGAGAUCAACGAAAACUUGAACUUCGUGGAGGAACCAAUCAAAAUCAUGGAUCGAGAGAUUAAACGUACGAAACAAACUCGCAUCCCGAUAGUGAAGGUUCGCUGGAAUGCCAAGCGGGGACCGAAAUUCACUUGGGAGCGCGAAGACUCGAUGAAAUAGAAGUAACGACAUCUCUUUCCAUAUCCAUUAUUUGAAUCUUAAUUUUGAAUUUCGGGAUGAAAUUCCCUCUAACAGGGGGAUAAUGUGACAACCUGAAGCUCGUUCCGUCAUUGUCACCCGUUUCGUUAAUAAAAUUCGUCGUUUUCAAAUUGUUUCGGUUUUGUUUCUAAAUUAAGUCAUUAAUUUUGAGUUUGCUAUUAUGACUUAAUGGGUGUCUAAACACAUUAGAAACACGUGAUAAUGCCCCAAUUUAGUAAUCGGAAAAAUUUUAGUUUCGACCGCGUCGGGUUUCGACAACUUAAUCGGGUGCGACCAAAAGCCUCGUUUAACGUUAAUAUCGGGUAGAAUUCCACCGUGUCUCAAACUCGAACCAUAUAUAAAGUUCAAAUGACUUCAUUUUGAAGCUUUUCACCCUCUCUCACUACUCUCUCACUACAAACUCAAUCUUGGUUCCAAAAUCACUCAAUUCAAGCUCCAAAUCGUUAAGGUAACUAUCCUAACUCAUUGAUUAACAUCCUUAGCCUUCAAAUUCAUGUUCAAAUCAUGGAAUACGACCAACAUCAUGUGUUUACGGCCCUAGAACAGUCUUGGGCCGCAAACACACAUAAAAGGGGGUUUUUGAGCCCCAAAACCCUCCCAAAACACUUUCGGAGCUUAGAUAUGGCUUAAGGACUUAUUUGAAUGGACUAGGAACACCAUAAACUCAUCAUUUAAGGGGUAAAUAUGAGUUUACAGCCCAAGAACAUGCUUGGAAUGUAAACACCCAUUCAUAGGCAGUAAACAUGUUUUAAGGUGUUAAGAUGCCCCUUAAACACCUCCUAAGCCUUGGAAUAACGUCUAGAAGCAACCAAAAACGAGUUAGGGGCCUUAAACUUGAUAAAAUCCACUCUCUUAGGAGUUCACAGCCGUAAACCCGCCAAGGAUAGUUUCCGGGGCCGUAAACUCCUAUAACUUGGUUAAAUGAUGCCCUAAUUUCACCUCAUGGCUUGUAAAAUGAGUUUGAAUCACAUGUGAUUAUUUUAGGGACACAAAAACAUGAAAGGAAAGGGUACAUAGGAGCUUACGACCAUAAAAUCCUAGUUUACAGCCGUAAAUUCCAUUAAGUGGUCCUUUUGGUGGUUUAAUCCUUCCCUAUACCCUAGAUUUGAUCCUAACCAAAUUCCCCAAGUGAUGUAUGACAUUUGAACACCGUAGAACACAUCACCCAUCAGUUUACGGUCAUGAAAUCAUGGGGACAUGGUCUUAGGGCCGAAAAAUCCUUUAGGAUUUUACUCUUGAAGAGCAAACUCCAUAUCUAUGCCCUAUACGUCCAUAGAUGCCACCCAGGUCACUCCAAACACUUGAUUUGAAGUGUUUUUGCGUCUUGGAGUGUAUAAUCAUAUCUAAUUAGUGGUUCAAAGUCUAAUUAGAUACAAUUGUGUAUCAUUUCGUAUUACAUAGGAACCUCACGCGUUAUCAAGCCCCGAACUGACACUUAGCAUCCAAACCGACACGUUUCCCGUCUGGUGAGCUCAUACCCCUACAUCUUUUUCCACGUUUUUCAAUGUUUUCAGGGGGGAAUACAAGCAAAAAGUACAAGAAUAUCUUGUACUUAAAAUAUUUAUUAUAUUAAAAUGUUUGUUAUUUACAUGCUUUUAACACUAGAAACAGUAUUAACCAACCGUUUAACCUGUACAGUUAGUUUUCAAACUGUUUGUGAAACUCUUUAUAAAUUGUCAUGUUUUAUAUUUCACAAAUAAUUCGUACCAUGUCAUCAUUGUUAAAAGCAUUAAAUUAGUACAUUUGAUUUGUCCUCGGUAACACUCCAGAGAGAUACGCGAGUGGAGGAUCACCGUUUGUAACAGGAUUAUUUCGUAUUAUUACUAGUAAAUUUGUUAUUCCUAAUAAUUGGAGACACAUCCUCGGAAACACUCCACAGAGAUACGGGAGUGGAGAACCGCCCCUGUAACCAGAAUCUCUUGGAGGGAGAGCGUGACUUGAGUGUAUAGAUAUAUAUGAGGCUGACUACCGCGUACCUGGCUACUAGCUACAGCCAAAUCGAAAGGUUCAAGGGUGAAAAAAGUCAUAAAUGAUACUAGCCUUCCCUUUUGCUAUAUCUAGUCUAUCGUAUGGUUAUGGAACUCGCAAUUUGGAUAACAGAGAUUUACUUGUUAGUAAUAAUGAAUUUAGUAACUAGUUUACUUCUUACUUAUUAUUUUUAUAUACGUGUUAAAACUAAUGCACUACACAAGGAUAAGCUAGUUUUCAGAAUACAUUUCUUACAUUUCAUUUCGGAUUGGUAACAAACUUCUAGGAAAAUAAGGGUUUUUCCUGGGAUAACAAUUGUUCAUAACCAGAAUUGUGUAACAAACAGGAUAACUAAACACUACUUUUAAGAAAAUAUGGGAUUUUCUUGGAUAAUAACUCUCUCAGUAAUCAAAGGGAAACUUGUUCAUUUUUAGAAAACAAAUCGCUUAUGAACUCACCAGCUUUAUACCGAUUUUCAAACUGCUUGUAUUCUCAGGUCCACAUUAGACAGGUACCCGCGAUCUUUUUGCAGAAGACGAAGCCCGUAGAAGACACGUCUUUACUUUUGUUCAUAUAUACAUAUGUAUAACACUUGUAACACUUUACUUUCAAACAAAUGUAAAUUUUCAUAUGUAAUGUAAUGGUUGUUUACUUUGCUUACUAUGUACAUUGAUUGUGAUACUUAACAUGACGUCACUUCAGCCCCGGAACGAUUCCUCUUUCGGUUUCGGGGUGUGACACUUAUGGUCGGUAAAAAUAGUACACUCUACUGGUCAGACAAUUGUGGAAGAAGGCAUAUCAAAUUCACAGCGCCUUCAGCUCUCUUUAUGGCUAAGUUGCUAAUGAAACUAGCAUCUCUGCUAACAGCUCGUUCGAGAAGUUUCACCCGCAAUGGCGGCCUCCCGAUGCCAAUCGGGAAUAACCCCUCACGCAGCUUCCUUCCAUCACACGAGGGCCAAAAGAGCUCGGUUUUCUUGAUAUUCAAUUGAAGGCCCAAUUGUGGGCCAAUAGCCUUAAUACUGUCUAAGGCUUUGGCCACCUCCUCGGAAUCUCCAAUAAGUGUGCCAUCAUCCAGGUACCAUGCAUGGAGAAGAAGCUUGCAAUUGUCUCUAAUAUUAUGCAAGAGCGGGUGCACCACAAGGGCAAAGAGAAUUGGUCCCAAUGGGCCUCAUUUUUGAACUCCAGUAGAAGACCAAAUAUGUGCGUCCCCUAGAUAUAACCUUACUGCUUAACCAUAUAGGAAUUCUACCCACAAGGAUAUAGAAGGGCACCUCAAUCUGAACUCGUGAAGUAAUGCAGACCUAUUAACAAGGUUAAAGGAAUUAGAGAAGUCGACAGGAGCAUGGAAAGAGACCCGCCAUUCUGGUGCUCACUCAACACCUGUUGGCGCUAUGUAAUAUGGCUUCAGCGCCACCCAACACACCGACACCAAACUGAAAAUCAUUGAGAUACUUGGCCAUUUCUUUACCAACACCUUUCAUAGCCAGCUUGGAAACCAAACGUCUCCAUAUAGUUCCUACUGCAAUAAGUCAUAUUCCCUUGCACGGUUUUAGAAGUGGGGUAAGAGGAGCAGAGGCAAAAAAUUCCGCCAAACUCGAAGGGAAUCUCCCCCAGCCAUAAAUUAGUUACACAUAUGAUACCACAUAGGAGGUUUUUGGCAAUCGCUGAACCUUCUCCUCAAAGAGCAUCUAAAAUGUGUUGAGCUCUCAACCCAUCUCUCCCACAUGAGGUUCCUUUAGGGAAUGAUUUAAUUCCCCCAAGGACAUUGUCAAUAUCAAUCACAAGGGGAGGUACUGAACAUAUGGUACUCGGCAUAGAUGGUGGUGGCUUGUGUGGAUGCUUAUCCUCCAAUAUCUUCAAGGUAGCAUCCCCAUAUGGAGCAACCCCUGAGGAGCAUAAUACUUUCACUGCUGCUAUGAAAUGCCCAUCAGCAACCUUACGGAGACAUUGUCUUACGUUGGCGUGACCCUUUGUUCUCCUGAAUGUACUCGUCUUUUUUGCCUUGUUGCUCCAUCCUUGCAUUGCCAACCAAGUUUUUAACAAGAUUGGCUAUACCAUCUUCUGUACCCCAAGUAGCUAAUGCACUUAAGAUGUUUCGAUGUUGCAAGGACUUCCUGUUCCCAGACCUACUUUCUUGUCUAUUCUUGGGCCUGAACACCUGAAGAGUACACCUAGGAGGAAUUAACAAUGUAACCCACGCUUCAAUGGACCUGGGAUGAGCGGAAACCUUGGAAGGGAUGCUUUCAAAGCCUGAGAGAAAUCCAUAUGACAGUUAUGAGGGAUGCUUUUGACAGUGGUGAUAGGUAGCUUAAACACAAGAUAAAGGAGCUGAGCAUCCAACACCAACCCCUCAUUGAGGUUGGCAUCCGGUUUAUUGGGUGGCGGCUUUUGAAUACCAACAAUAUGUUUGCUCAUGUCAUCAACAUCCCUAUUAAAUUUAACAAGACCACUUGAGUGUCUACACGAGCGGCUUAGGGCAUGGAGACUCAUACAAUCCCCACAUAUCCAUUGACCAAACUCCUUCAAUGUUGCUACCACUAACAUAAACAAUCCAAGGUCUAAAGAAAUAACAUCUCGCAACACACCUCUACGCUCAUCCGUAGAAAGGUGCAAACUCUUGAUAUGAUAAAUCAUACGAGAUAUCCCCUUACCACCCACUUCACCGUUCGGGCAGAAAUGAAACCCCCGAUAAGGACACAGCCAAGUUCCUCUCGCAUAUGAAUGAGAAGACGCCAUAAACACAUAAACAAAUCUUACUAAAGCCUCAAGGGGAGGCUCGGAAAGAGAAGAAAAAAUCCAAAGAAAAGAUUGAAACUCCAACAAAAGGUUGGAUUGCACAAUGAAAAAACACCCCGGAAGAGACUCUACAUCCUUUUGGGUCCUAAUAUGGCUGCAACACUUGAAAAAAGACCUUUAGACAUUUUAUCGAACACCUAGUGGGCAGAAAAAGAAAUGUAUGAUUUGCUCCAAUGAGGCUUGAGAAUUUAACCCAUAUAUAAUCCCCCUUAGUGAGAAAUUCUUUCAAUCACGACAAAUAAAAUAAUUCAUCGCAUGAUAUUUGUAAUACACAUUUAAAGGAGAAAUACGAACUGAGAAAUCGUUGGUUUAAAUUGAAACCUAAUUCAAUUGAACUUUAAUAAUCAAUCUCUCAAAUUAAAUUAACCCUCAAAGUGACCCGCAAUUUUAUUGCCCACUUUCUCUCUAGCGAGUAACCUGAGCAGAAACAUGGGUUCAGAUUAACUAGAUUCUUAAUGGACUAGACUCUCGAAUUGAAUAACCGACAUGGCAAAACUCUCGAAUUGAAAUCUACAAAAGCCAUUCUUUUAUUGGUCUUUGUUUUUUGGGAUUCUUUGGAACUUGUUCGAAAAUUUGUUUUCAUAUUUUAUAUUUGAAAAUGUAGGUUGUAGAUGAUGAAGCGAUGAAUAAAAAUAAUACAAAUGCAAAUGUUUUUGGUGAUAUUGAAGCCGACAAGGUUAUUAUAUAUAUUACAUUUACGAUUUUAAUAAUUAAAUUUUAAGGUGUCUUUCGUUAUUAACUAUAAUGUGUUAUUUUUAAUGUAGGAGUUGGAGGAGAGGAAUGACAAUGCGAGUUGUAGUAGGAACAAAUUUGAUGAUGAUGUGUUUGAUGUAAAUGAUUAUAAUGAAGCUAAAGAGGUUGUUAUACUUACAUUUAUUUUAUUUUUUUUGGUAGAUUGAAACAUUUUUUAAUUAGAGAUUAUUGCUUAUUAAUUUAGGUGUCAGAGGAAGAUGAAAUAAUAAUUACAGGAAAUGUAAAUUAUUAUGAUGCUUAUGGUUUUGAUGGCAAAGAAGUUACACCCGAUAGAGCGACGGCUCGAAAUCCAUCAAAGUAUUUGUGCCAUCUUUACACCGAGGUAUUUGUUUAAUUUAUUAACUUAUAUCGUAAUAAUAGAAUUUUAUUUUUAUGUGAAUUAUUUCAAAGAUAGAGAUUUAAACAUUUGAAUAUUGUUUUAGUUGCACAUGACACCGAAGUAAAAAAAGAAGACCAAAAAAGAAGGUUGAUAUCAAAUCAACAAGCCCCGCUCCUCCUCCAACUUUUGUUGUUGUUCACGACUUCUCCGUGUUGCGCCUGCAACCUUACGUCGCAGGCGGUGAGGUUCUGAUCCAGAAUUAUUUAUUUCAUUCAUAUGAUGUCCAACAUCGUUUGUUUAAUUUGGUAUUAGAUAGAGAUUUUUGGAGCGUCUUGUUUGGGCAUACACACAACGAAUGGUUGGGGUCAACGGUAAAAUAAUUGUUAAUUUAUUAUUUUAAAAGUGUAUUGUUUUUUUAAUUAAUAACAAAAGUAUCGUAAUUAUGUGCAGCAUAUCACCAUUUGGUAUAGACUACUCUCCCCAGAGACAUUUUGAUAGCGACGGACAUACAAUAAUGCCUCCAAAUUUUUUUGUUUGCCAGGCUCUGGAGGAAGGGUACGAUUGAAGGGCAUUUAUGGUUGGUAUUGCUACGUACCCCAACUUCAUGGUUUCUUGGUGGGAUGUCGAUACGGUAAACUGAAUUGUUUAUUUUGAAAAUAUUUUCGUUAUUGUCGUUAUGUUUUUGUAUUAUGAUAUGUAAACAUAAUUUUAUUUUUUGAUCCUUAUACAUGCCCUAUUGCCGAUUCAUUCAUCCCCCAAUCACUGGUUAUUUGGGGAACUACGAUUGGCGUCAAUGGAAGUCCAUAUUUAUGACAGUCUCGGUAGAGGGGCUUAUGAAAAAUUCAACUCUGAUGGAACCUUUACCAAAUUUGAAGCUCGGUUGGCAGAUUAUGUAGACAAGAUUGGCUAUUGGGCCUGGAGGAACAUCCCAAGGAUUCCGUUGAAUAUGCAAUUCAUUUCGAAACAAAUGUUCCCCAACAAAAUAGUUAUUUGGGAGAUUGCGGUGUUUUUGUUUGUAUGUUUAUGGAACAAUGAGUUUCAAGCCAACCAAUACGUGAACUUAUUGACCCAAGGAACGAAGCUUUAGAGUUUUGCCAACGGGUGACAAAAAUUAUUUGGGGGUCGAGUCUUGGUCCUAUGUAGUUGGAUUAUAUAUUUCUAUAUGUAAUUGAAUGUUGGAUUUAAUGAACUACUAAUAACUUCAAUGCUUACAACAUAACAACGACACCACCAUUUGUUUUAAAGUAACAAGUGGACUGCUCUAAACAUAACAACAAAUACAACAAUUUAUUGACAUAACAACUUCAAAACUAUCAAAACAAUAUUAAAAAUCUUACAACUUGUAAACAAUAAUUGCCAAAAACAACACCCAACUACAAACCAAGGCUAUCUUUAACUUCUUAGUUUCUGAUUGAAAGUGCUUAUUACAGUUAGCUAUUUUAGCUAUUACCAUAGAUGAUUGGUCCUUCUCUUCAUCAACCCAACUGAUAAACCCACAUUUUGGUCUCUGUAAAUUUAAAUGUUAACAAUAAUAAUUGUUACCAUAAAAUGAUGAGUGUGUAAAUAUGAAUGAAGUUAAGAACAUGAUACCAUAUAUGGGCAAACGUAAAAUAAUCUUCAUGGGUUUUUAGCUGUACCCAAAAUCUUAAUGAUAUGUUCACCUCCGUAAUUACAGUAUGCCAUUCACCUUUUUUAUUCUAUCAAAUAUUGAUUACUUUCAUAGAUAAAUUUCAUGGAGUUAUUUUACACCCGUUUAUAGAAUAAAUUUUAUUACAGACAAGUAUGUUUAACUAUUAAAUGAAUUGGUUUCACUAUGAAUUUAAAAAUUUGAACUAUAAACUUCAUACAAGUACAUUGUCUUGUCUUGUCGGUCAGUGAUGUUUGACUAUGAAAUGAAUAGGGUUGACUAUGAAUUAAAAAAGUUGAACUAUGAAAUGCAUACAAGUACAUUGUCUUGUGUUGUCAGUCAAUGAUGUUUGACUAUGAAAUGAACUGGUUUGACUAUGAAUUAAAAAAACUUGAAUUAUGAAGUAUGAACUUUUGAGAAACAACAAUUUAUAUAUAAUUAUAAUUGUAUUUUUGUGAUUAUUGUAAAACACUUUCAUUGCUGUUCAGAAUGAGUACUUACACCAAAAUAAGCUUUUCUCAGCUACCAAUAUUCUUGCAUAAUCUACAAAGAACAAAUCCUAAUACCUUCACAGCCCUCAAGAAAAUGGAUACCAACUGCUUUCAAUUACGUUUUGUGGAUUUAGGUUGCGUGGUAUAACAUAUUUGUUUUAUUGAGUUAAUUAAUAUUUCUUGGUAAUGUAUCUCGUUUACUCUUUACAUAUCACUAAUUUAUCUUUGUUUUUUUAUGCUGAUUCGUACCUUCCUUAGGUGCAUGAUACCGUUAUUAUAUGUUGGUUAUUUACCCCUUCUUGGGAGCUAUCUGACAACAAUGUACCUCGCAGUGGCUUUGGAUGGAAACCAUGAACCCCUACUCUUAGAAAUUGGUUUGGGAACCUUAGAGUGUGAAGAAUCAUGGAGAUGGUUAACGAUGAAGUUAAAAGAGUGUUUAGGUGAGGAUACAAAUGUUGGUUUCAUAAGCAACAUAUGUGAUAAAAUAGACUUUUCUCUUCAGAGUGUCUACCCAGAUUCGUAUCAUGGAUAUUGUCCUAAGAUAUAGCUCGAAAAAUACGUGACUCAGUCGGACAUAAUAAUAUGGAAGUAGAAAUUUUGUUUUGGAAGUCAUGCAAUGCAUAUAGUGUUCACGAUUUUUACAGGUGUCAGGAAAGGUUGCAAAGUGCCUGUAGGAAACCACCUUUCUGCACCAUGCUUAGGAGUCCAAUUUUCUGGCUUGACAAUAUAGCAAUUUCAAAAUGGACACUAGCAUUUUUCCCAAAAGUACGUUACAAUGUUAAAUCGAUUGAUGUCCCUGAAAUGUUGAAAAUUAUAUCCACGUCCACACGUGAAUUUCCUAUAACAACGAUACUUGAGUUAAUGAAUACGUCGAUACAAUCAAGGUAUGUUGAACGAGCUGAAGUGGCGGGUAAGGGAGAUUGUUAAAUUUAGUUUUUUUCUUGUAUUAUUAUUUUAAAAUUAACAAUUUUUGCAGGGAGGUUGUCUAAUGGGUGACCCCUUAUGUUGAGAAUAACGUUCAAAAACGUAUAACCAAAGUCUUAUAAUUGGAUGACAAGACGUUUGUAUGUGGAUAUAUUUGAAUUCGAUGACAAUUUUGCCACCAGUAAAGUACAAAUUGAACGUAGGGUAUGUAGUUGUGGGAAAUGGCAAAAAAGCGGUAUACCAUAUGGCCACGCUAUAGCAUCUAUAAGAACACGUACGUCUGAAGGCAUUCACAAAUAGGUUGAUUAUAACCUUACUGCUUUCUUGUAUCGACUUGCAUUUGGAUCCGAAUUGGUGAAUUCUAUACCAUAACAUGUGCACUGGGAAAUACCAAAUGAAAGGGUAGUCCUGUUACCUCCCUAAAAGAAGUAGUUAUUCAUGUACCCCAUUUGCAUUUUAUGUCCUAUUAUGUAUUAAUUAUUCAUGUACCCCGUUUACAUUUUAUGUCCUAUUAUGUAUUAGUUAUUUAUGUAUCUGUUAUCUUAAUUGAUGUACCCCGUUUGCAUUUUAUAUCGUAUUAUGUAUUACUAAUUUAUGUACCUGUUAUCUUAAUUCAAUUUUAAUUGCGAUUGAGGAAACAACAUACAUUAAAAGUAAGGUAUAUUUAUUAACUAGUCACAAAACACAUGUAACACAACAAGCAACUUAACUAACGAAAAACAAAUAAGUUAACCAACAUGCUUAUUAAAAGCGAGGGACACUCUUUAAAAGAUUCCAUGCAUCUCUCUGGGUAAACUCUCUACCAUCAGAUUCGAAACGAUAUAGUUCCAAAGCCACCUGUAUGUGAAUGCCUUCAUCCAUAUUCACAUGUUCAUUAUCCAGCUCGUUAUAAAUAUGUUGAAAAUGCUUGACCUUUCUUUACAAAUCCAGAAACUUUGCUUUCACAUCUCUUCUUCGAUAUUGAGUACGCCCCGUUUGAUGAUGAAACAAAUGACAGACACAAGACCAAAAUGAUCCAGCGCGAAAUUGUGGUAGACCUGGUGGAAAAUCCUGCUCUACAGUUACGAUCCAAGCUUGAGCCAAAGCGACAUCUUCUUCGCUGGUCCAUCUAUAUGGUACAGGUGAGUCCAUAACNAUGUGAUACAAUUAAAACAUAUAUGAACAACUGUUUAUAGCGACGCCUUAUUUUCCCGGUGUAAUGGCUUUUCACCUCAAGUAGCAGUGUCUUAUGUUGUCAUUCAAUACAAUGACUUGUGAACUCGAACGGUCAUUUGUUGUGUUCUCAGUUAGUAUACUGUGUUCUUCAGUUAAGUUGGACUAUGAAUUGAAGACAAAUUAGAAGAUUGGACUGCGAUAUUAUGUAUAAAAUACUAUAAAUUGACAUUAAGUUAAAAAAACGAUUUACAAAACGAUCUUACAGUUAUUCAUAUAUUAUUUUUGAAAUUUUACUCUCCUUGUUUCACUAAAAAUUAGUUCUAUACCAUGGAGCAAUGAGGAGUUCUUGGUUCUUGCACAUGCGUAUAUUCAUGUGUACGAGACCAGCAAGUUAAACGAUCCUAUGUUUUGGACUCGUUUAACCAAUAUCUUCAACGCUGAAAACCGAAUGACUACAGCAAACAAUCGUGACGAACUGAACAUCUUAGAAAGAUGGUAUGAAAUGAAAACUGAAGUUCUAUUAUUCAACGAUCUUUAUACCAAAAUUGACGACACCCGUUUAAAUGCUAUCGAGGAGGUCAUCUUGGAAACUGCUAAGGAGGAGUAUAAAUCAUUAAGUGACGGGUUGGAAUUCCAGUUUGAAGCCCCUUGGAAUAUUUUGAAAUAUAUCCCGUUUAUUUAAUAUCUAUUUCAAUUUAUUAGGUGAGUACUAGGUUAUUUUCCUGUAUUACAUAAGUAUUGGAUGCACCUCCUAUGUUUAAAAUUAAUUAAUAAAUGGUCAUUGCAUUAGUUUUCACGAUACAUUACAAUACAUUACUGAAACUAACAAUCAUUACAUGAAACAUUAAACUUAUAACAUUACUACAAACAAAGCAUUAAAAUAAAAGACAAGUCCAUGGGUUAUUUUUAACGGAAAAUAGAGUGGUCUACAUGAAAUAUUGAUUAUUUUUAACAACCUUCCAAACUUCCUCAUAUUCGAAGUCUCUGCCUUCAUGCUCACAGAUGUAAAAUUUGUAACAACUUCCAAGAACUCUUCUUCGUCCCGACAACGAAGUUUGGUACUUUUCACAUAAUUAAACACUUGAUUGAACCAUGUGACUUCUUCCUUUACAUCUAUCCAUUUACUAAAAACAUCUUGUUGUUGUCGUUGUUUUCCUUCUCCCAUCUCAUGGUUGAAUAAAAGUGUUAUGCGGGUCCAUUCAUCACCUACUAGGCAAUGUGGGGGAGCAAGUAAUAGUACACCCUCCUUAACACUUAGCCAACAUCAUGUUAGAACCAACAAAUUGUUUCUCGUCCAUGGUCGUUCAUAAUUGGAACCAGGUAGCUCAUUCGAAGAAGUUGUUGCAUUCGAUGACAUUUCUAAAUAUGGGAGUUGGUUUCGUUUAGGUGAUAUGGGUGUUUGGUUUUUAGAUCUUAAAAAACUAUUUAUAUUAAUAAAUAAAGGACUAUGGAUUACAAGUUUGACUACGAAAUGGUUGCAUUUAGACUAUGAUUUGCAGGUUACUACAGUGACUUAUCAUGUCAAACAGCCGUUUAUGUCGUGUCACUUCAGAGUUUGACUAUGAUUUGCAGGUUACUACAGUGACUUGUCAUUAAUGUGUAGUCAUUUCAAAGUUCGAUUAUGAAUUACAACUCUUACUACGAAAUGGUUGAAUUUAGACUAGUAUGUAUAAAUACCACUUAUAGCAUCAGUUUAUUAUAAUCUCGACUUUAUUAUGAGUUCCUCUAAAAAAUUUGAAGUUUGCACAUGCAACGAAGUAGAUUGUUACUACUGUGAUUCAGUCGACCCUUUUUUAACACCCUCUUCUGUCGGGCCAUAUAUGUCAAAUGAACAUUUUGACGAAUUGAAGAAGGCUAAAGAACAACAAGAACAUGAUAAAGAGUCAUCUCGAUUUCUCACUCAACGUGGUAAUGAUUUUGCAUCGGAAUGUAAACAUGUUCAAGAAUGGAUAGACCUCAAUAAAAAAAUCAAAGAGCAUGGAGAAUGGAUAAAAAAGACUAAGAAGGAAAUCAAAACGACUAAAACAUGGCUUGCAGAGAAGGACGAGCAGUUGAUACACAUUAGGGUGCAAAAGGAUCGUUUGGAAGAUAAAAUGAGAAUUAGGGAUGGCUAUAUAACAAUCGAGAAAGAGAAGUAUCCAUUGCAGUUCCCUGAGUUUCAAAAUUAGUUACAAAAAUGUUGUAAUAUUAUCAUGAUACACCUUAGGGUGCAAAUGUUUUUUUUAAAUAACAUCUUGUAAUUGUUAUAAUCAACAAACUAAAUAUUAUAAUAUAAAACCAUCAUUAAUUGUUAUAAUCUGCAAAAUAAACUAAAAUAUGAAAGCAUAGCCUGUAACCGCAGCUAUGACAUAAUACCUCUGAUAGAACAAUACACUCAUGAUUUACCAUGAGAACAAAUACACUCAUGAUUUAACAUGAGAAACAACACCGUGCGCUUCAUCGACGCCGGAAUAAUAACAAAUAAAAGGAUAGUUCAUCACCUGUUUUUGGUUGACUGUAGCUAACGGUCACAAGUGGGGUGGUCAGCCCGUAUACUAAUUAUACACGACUUCCUCGCUCACACGGGAUUAACGGUUACAGUUCAGAGGAUUUCCGCUAAGAUCCUCAAUCUUAGUUGAUGAAAACAAUUACUCAUGUAGACUUUGACGACUUCCAAUAGCUCUAACAACAAAAUCAUCUUUAUGUCUAAAACCUUAAGUUACUAGACUAUGCUUUUAAACGUUACUCCUAACUUCAUCAUAUUUAGGCAGCAUAAUAGCUAUAUCUUGAAGUCAAAACCAGGUUUUAUCUGGACCUAAAACCAAUAAUAACAACAUAUAACAUUUCUAGUUUUAUCUUGACAUAAAACUAACAAUAACAACAUAUAUUUAGAACAAUCAUAUCUCGAUUAACAUAUUGAUAAGUUAAUAAUAGUUGUAUGUAUUCAAAAUGUUAUAUUUAGAACAAUCAUAUCUCGAUUAUCAUAACUAUAUACUAUCAUAUGGACAUAAUAAUAACAUAUAUACAAUAACUAGCAUGCGUUUUCUCCCAAAAUAUUAGAAAGUGGGGCCGUGAAACUCACCCUAGUAGCGUGAUUUUAUGUUAUCUAAGCAAAAUGGUCAGCGUGCGAGAUCGUCGGGGCUCAGGAUGCAAGAUGGCCUCAGCAAAGGAGAGAAAGGGAAGAAGUUUUGGUGUAAGAAUGGCUAAAGUCGGACCUGCUAUUUAUAGUAAGAAUUUUAGACUCUCACGUUGUGAGUGUCAUAAGGCUCACGUCGUGAGUUUUGCAUGAUCACCCCGUAGACUUGCCAUUUGUGUCCCUAGCUUCGUAAGGUGGCCAUGUGACUCCUCACGUCGUGAAAAACUCUUUGUUUACGCCGUGAGUUUGGAUUCUAUCCCCUCGCAGCCUCGUCACAUCUUCUAGAUUCCGAGAUAUGGAUAAAUGACUCCUCACGUCGUGAGUGUCAUAAAGCUCACGUCGUGAAUUUAGUUAUAUUAGGGUUUCUAAAAUCUGAAUCUUCGGAAGGCCAUAACUUUUGUAUACGAACUCCAUUUUUGACGUUCUUUAUAUGCACGCGUAGGUAUUUAUGAGUACUACAACUCUCUAUUAGAAUUAAAUAGCUAAUUAGAAGUUUAUUUUAAAUUCCUCUUAUUAUAGAGAUUUAUAGUGUUCGGUUUAUCAUAACUUCUUCAUGCGAAGUCAGACUCAGACGUACUCUAUAUUUUUGGAAUCGUCUUGACGUAUACUUUGAGUUGUAUCAUAAAGAAAGUUCAUAUUGUAUUAGAAUUUAUCAUGAACUACAUAACACUCUUACCACAUUACUAGGUUAACAUAAUCACAUUACAUGAUUGGCAUAAUCACAUGUGAUUGUCUAUUACCCUAUUUUUACUAGUGUUACAUUCUCCCCCCGUUAGAACAAUUUCGUCCCAAAAUUUAUCUUGUGAAUAGGAUUUUUUCAAACGGUUAGGGGUAUUUUUCUUUCAUCUGAUCUUGACGUUCCCAAGUAAAUUCAGGUCCUCGCAAAGAUUUCCAUCGAACUUUCACUAUGGGAAUACGACUUUGCUUUAAUCGUUUGACUUCUCGAUCCAUGAUCUCGACAGGUUGUUCUACAACGUUGAGUUUGGUAUUGACUUGUAUCUCGUGGAGAGGUACCACAAGAGUGUCAUCGGAUAGACAUAUUUUGAGAUUUGAUACGUGAAAAACAUCGUGUACAUUACUUAGUUCUUGAGGCAACUUGAGUUGGUAUGCGACAGAACCAAUUCUAUUUAGAAUUUCAAAUGGUCGUAUAUACCGUGGGUUUAGUUUGCCUCGCUUACCGAAUCGAAUUACACCUUUCCAAGGAGAGACAUUCAACAUUACUUUAUCUCCAACUUGGAAUUCUAAAGGCUUACAUCUUACGUCAGCAUAGCUCUUUUGACGAUCACGUGCAGCCUUUAAUCGAUCCUUAAUUUGCAUGAUCUUUUCAGUUGUCUCGUGGAUUAUUUCUGGUCCAGUACGUAAGGUAUCACCUGUACGUUCUCUGGCCAUCUGCGCAUCUCCAACUUCUACCCAACAUACUGGGGAACGACAUUUUUGUCCAUAAUGAGCCUCAAACGGUGCAACCUUGAUGCUGGUGUGAUGACUAUUGUUGUAGGAGCAUAUCUUCUAAAGUCUAUUACACAGGCUCAGAGCAUAUCUUCUAAAGUCUGAAUGGUUCUCUCACUCUAACCAUCAGUCUGUGGAUGGUAAGCUGUACCCAUGUCUAGAUGUGUUCCUAAGGAUUUUUGUAGAGAUUGCCAAAAUCGUGAAGUGAAUCUACUAUCUCGGUCAGAAAUAAUAGAACUUGGAAAUCCAUGCAAUCUAACAAUUUCCCUAAGAUGAACUCUAGUCAGCUUCGCCAUCUUGUCGUUCUCCUUAAUUGGUAAGAAAUGGGCAGACUUAGUCAAUCUAUCGACUAUUACCCAAAUAGUGUCGAACCUACUAGGAGUUUUAGGUAACUUAGUGAUGAAGUCCAUUGAUAUCUGCUCUCAUUUCCAUUCAUGUAUUUCCGGUUGUUGAAGUAAACCUGAAGGCUUUUGAUGUUCUGCCUUCACUCUAGAACAAGUCAAACAUUUGCUCACAUAAGUAGCAAUUUAUGCCUUCAUGUUUGGCCACCAAUAAUGUACUUUUAAAUCUAAGCACAUUUUGUUAAAGCCUGGAUGCACGGAAUAUUUGGACUUGUGGGCUACUUCUAAGACCAAGUCCCUGACUCCAUCGAACUUAGGCAUCCAAAUUCGGUUCAUAAAGUGUCGCGUUCCGUCAUCUUUUUGUAUAAGUUGCUUUUCUAUUCCUCGCAAAGCUUCAUUCUUGAUAUUUUCUUCUUUUAGAGCCUCAAGUUGAGCUUCUCUAAUAUGUGCGGCAAGGUUAGAAUGGAUAGUUAUGGUUAAUGCUCGUACCCGACGGAGUUUACUCUAUUCUUUCCGGCUCAAGGCAUUUGCUACCACGUUUGCCUUUCCAGGAUGAUAACGAAUCUCACAUUCGUAAUCAUUCAAUAAUUCGACCCAUCUUCAUUGUCUCAUAUUAAGAUCUUUUUGGUCAAAGAUGUGUUGGAGACUCUUGUUGUGACAACCCGAAGUUCGUUCCGUCAUUGUAACCUGUUCCUUUAAUAAAAUUCGUUGUUUUCUAAUUGUUUCCGUUUCGUUUCUAAAUUAAGUCAUUAAUUUUGAGUUUGCUAUUAUGACUUAAUGGGUGUCCAAACACAUUAGAAACACAUGAUAACACCCCAAUUUAGUAAUCGGAAAAAUUUUAGUUUCAACCGCGUCGGGUUACGACAACUUAAUCGGGUGCGACCAAAAGCCUCGUUUAACGUCAGUAUCGCGUAGAAUUCCGCCGUGUCUCAAACUCGAACCAUAUAUAAAGUUCAAAUGACUUCAUUUUGAAGCUUUUCACCCCCUCUCACUACUUUCUCACUACAAACUCAAUCUUGGUUCCAAAAUCACUCAAUUAAAGCUCCAAAUUGUUAAGGUAAGUAUCCUAACUCGUAGAUUAACUUCCUUAGCCUUCAAAUUCGUGUUCAAAUCAUGGAAUAGGACCAACAUCAUGUGUUUACGACCCUAUAACAUUCUUGGGCCGCAAAGACACAUAAAAGGGGUUUUUGAGCCCUAAAACCCUCCCAAAACACUUUUGGAGCUUGGAUAUGGCUUAAGGACUUAUUUGAAUGGACUAGGAACACCAUAAACUCAUCAUUUAAGGGGUAAAUAUGAGUUUACAGCCCAAGAACAUGCUUGGACCGUAAACACCCAUUCAUAGGCAAUAAACACCUUUUAAGGUGUUAAGAUGCCCCUUAAACACCUCCUAACCCUUGGAAUAAAGUCUAGAAGCAAGCACAAACGAGUUAGGGGCCUUAAACUUUAUAAAAACCACUCCCUUAGGAUUUCACAGCCGUAAACCCCCCAAGGAUAAGUUCCUCGGUCAUAAACUCCUAUAUCAUGGUUAAAUGAUGCCCUAAUUUCACCCCAUGGAUUGUAAAAUGAGUUUGAAUCACAUGUGAUUAAUUUAGGGCCACCAAAACAUGAAAGGAAAGGGUACAUAGGAACUUACGGCCAUAAAAUCCUAGUUUACAACCGUAAACUCCAUUAAAUGGUCCCUUUGGUGGCUUAGUCCUUCCCUAUACCUUAGAUUUGAUCCUAACCAAAUUCCCUAAGUGAUGUAUGACCUUUGAACACCCUAGAACACAUCACAUAUGAGUUUACGACCGUGAACUCAUGGGGACAUUGUCUUAGGGCCAAAAACUCCCUUAGCAGAUUACUCUUGAAGAGCAAACUCCAUAUCUAUGCCCCAUACGCCCGUAGAUGCCACCCGGUUCACUCCAAACACUUGAUUUGAAGUGUUUUCGCGUCUUGGAGUGUAUAAUCAUAUCUAACUAGUGGUUCAAAGUCUAAUUAGAUACAAUUGUGUAUCAUUUCAUAUUACAUAGGAACCUUGCACGUUAUCAAGCCCCGAACUGACACUUAGCAUCUAAAUCGACACGUUUCCCGUCUGGUGAGUUCAUACCCCUACACCUUUUUCCAUGUUUUCAAUGUUUUCAGGUGGGAAUACAAGCAAAAAGUACAAGAAUAUCUUGUACUUAAACUAUUUAUUACAUUAAAAUUUUUGUUAUUUACAUGCUUUCAACACUAGAAACAGUAUCAACCAACCGUUUAACAUGUAAAGUUAGUUUUCAAACUGUUUGUGAAACUCUUUAUAAACUGUCAUGUUUUAUAUUUGACAAAUAAUUCGUUCCAUGUCAUCAUUGUUAAAAGCAUUAGAUUAGUACAUUUGAUUUGUCCUCGGUAACACUCCACAGAGAUCCGCGAGUGGAGGAUCACCGUUUGUAACAGGAUUAUUUCGUAUUAUUAAUAGUAAAUUUGUUAUUCCUAAUAAUUGGAGACACGUCCUCGGAAACACUCCACAGAGAUACGGGAGUGGAGGACCGCCCUGUAACCUGAAUCUCUUGGAGGGAGAGCGUGACUUGAGUGUAUAGAUCUAUACGGGGCUGACUACCCCGCACCUGGCUGCUAGCUACAGUCGAACCGAAAGGUUCAAGGGUGACAAAAGUCAUAAAUGAUACUGGCCUUCCCUUUUGCCAUAUCUAGUCUAUCGUAUGGUUAUGGAACUCGCAAUUUGGAUAACAAAGAUUUACUUGUUAGUAAUAAUGAAUUUAAUAACUAGUUUACUUCUUACUUAUUAGUUUUAUAUACGUGUUAAAACUAAUGCACUACACAAGGAUAACCUAGUUUUCAGAAUACAUUUCCUACAUUUCAUUUCGGAUUGGUAACCAACUUUUAGGGAAAUAAGGGGUUUUCCUGGGAUAACAAUUGUUCAUAACUAGAAUUGUGUAACAAACAGGAUAACUAAACACUAAUUUUUAGAAAAUAUGGGAUUUUCUUGGAUAACAACUCUUUCGGUAAUCAAAAGGAAACUUGUUCAUUUUCAGAAAACAAACCGCUUAUGAACUCACCAGCUUUAUGCCGAUUUUCAAAUUGCUUGUAUUCUCAGGUCCACAUUAGACAGGUACCCACGAUCUUUUUGCAGAAGACGAAGCCCGUAGAAGACACGUCUUUACUUUUGUUCAUAUAUACAUAUGUAUAACACUUGUAACACUUUAGUUUCAAACGAAUGUAAAUUUUCAUAUGUAAUGUAAUGGUUGUUUACUUUUCUUACUAUGUACAUUGGUUGUGAUACUUUACAUGACGUCACUUCAGCCCUGGAACGAUUCCGCCUUCGGUUUCGGGGUGUGACACUUGUGGUCGGUAAAAAUAGUACACUUAGUACCGUAUAGGUAAUGUCUCCAGAUUUUUAAUGCAAAAAAUACAGCUCCCAAUUCAAGAUCAUGGGUAGUGUAAUUAUUCUCGUGUACCUUAAGUUGUCGUGAUGCGUAGGCGAUAACCUUUCCUCUAUGCAUCAACACACAUCCCAAUCCUUGAUUUGAUGCGUCGCAGUAUACGACGAAAUAUUCUGUCCCCUCUGGAAGGGAUAGGAUUGGUGCACUACACAGCAUUUGCUUUAGUUUCUGAAAAGCAGCUUGUUGCUUGUCUUCCCAGUUGAACUUCAUAUCCUUGUGGGUUAGUGUUGUAAGUGGCUUGGCUAUUUUGGAGAAAUUCUCUAUGAAUCUACAGUAAUAGCCAGCAAGUCAUAGGAAUUAACGUACCUCUAUUGGCGUCUUUGGUGCUUCCUAAUUCCUGAUUGCUUCAACUUUGGAUGGGUCAACAUGAAUUCCUUCGUUGCUAACUACAUGACCUAAAAAUUGUACUUCUCUAAUCCAAAACUCACAUUUGGAGAAUUUAGCAUAUAAGUUUUCAUUUCUUAGUAGUUCCAAGAUUAUUUGCAGGUGUUGACCAUAUUCUUCCUUGGUUCGUGAAUAUAUCAAUAUAUCAUCGAUAAAUACGAUCACGAAUUUAUCCAAGUAUGAUUUGCAAACACGAUUCAUGAGAUCCAUAAACACUGCUGGGGCCAUGGUUAAUCCAAAAGACAUAACUAAGAACUCAUAAUGACCAUAACGAGUUCUAAAUGCUGUUUUUGGAAUGUCAUCUUCUUGUACUCUGAGUUAAUGGUAUCCUGAUCUAAGAUCUAUCUUUGAGUAGUAGCUAGAUCCUUGGAGUUGAUCGAAUAAAUCAUCAAUUCUUGGAAACGGAUAAUGAUUCUUGAUUGUUAGCUUGUUCAGCUCCCGAUAAUCAAUACACAUUCGAAAGGAUCCGUCCUUCUUCUUGACAAACAAUAUUGGUUCUCCCCAAGGUGAAAAACUUGGUCGGAUAAAGCCUUUGUCAAGAAUUUCUUAUAGUUGACUAGAUAAUUCUUGCAUUUCGGAUGGAGCCAGCCGAUAAGGAGAUUUCGCUACUGGUGCUGCUCCUGGGAUUAAGUCGAUUCAAAACUCGACUUGUCGGACGGGAGGUAUUCCAGGUAGAUCUUCAGGAAAUACGUCAGGGAAAUCACAUACAUGAGGUAUGUCCUUGAUUUCUUUUAUCUUUCUUCUCUUAUCUACAAUGUGGGCUAAGAAUGUGCUACAUUUCUUAUGUAGAUAUUUCUGUGUCUUGGUACAAGAGAUGACUUUGAGGUCUUUCCCAGACUUAUCACCAUAGAUAAUCAGGGCUUCGCCAUUUGGUAAGGGUAGUCGUAUGGCUUUCUCAUGACAUAGAAUUUCGACGUGGUGUGAAGAUAACCAAUCCAUGCCAAUUAUGACAUCAAAACUACCGAUAGGCAUUGGCAUGAGGUUGACGUGUAAAAGGUAGUUGUUAAGAGUUAACAAACAGUUUUCUAGGAUUUCAUGUGUUUUCUCUGUUAGCCGUUAGCGAUUUCUACUUCAUAGAUUUCUUUUAAUAUGCUAGACUUAUGACUUAACAAUUUUCUAAAUGUCGGAGUUAUAAAACUUCGAUCUGCUCCAGAGUCGAAGAAUAUGCUAGCGUAUAAAUUAUCUAUGAGAAACGUACCAGAUACAACCGAAGGGUCCUGGAUAGCCUCUCUGCUUCCGAUCACAAAUGCCCUGCCACGCCCUAUGCCUCCUUGACUCCUUAACUUUGGAUAUUCUUUCUUGAUGUGUCCAACCUCUCCACACUCAUAACACUUUCUUUCUUCACCACGACCUGUUCCAGUAUUUGUUUGCUGAUUGACUGUUGCAGGUGUUGUGCUCCUGCAGUAACUAGCAGUAUGCCCCUUCUUUUUGCAUUUCGUGCAAACAAAACAGUCACCUGGGUGAUGACGGUUGCAGUGGUUGCACCAUCCAGACUUUGGUUGAGUAGAUACUGCUGUUGUGGCUAUGUAGUUGGUUGCCACUUCUUGUCUUUUCUCAGAUGAUUGUUUGGGAUUCUUCUUAUUAAACUUGCGCUUGUUUGUUCUCACUUUGGGAGACUCAGACUUUGAGACCACUUCUGUUCCUUUGAUCUCUGUGAGGGUUAGCUGAUGAGCUAUCCUCUUGGUGCUGUCAUAAGUCGUAGGCUUUGAUGCGAUCACCAUGCCUUUGAUUUGCGAUGGUAAACCCCAGAUAUAUCGCUCAAUCUUUUUAUAUUCAGGGGUCACAAGUGCUGGACACAUUACAGCAAGAUCAUUAAAUCUAGCGGUAUAAGCUUUUAUCUCUGAACCCUUCAUGGUUAGGGUCCACAGUUCUUGUUCCAGUUUAUGUAUUUCCUCCCUAGGACAAUACUCCUCUACUAGCAUCAUUUUAGCUCCUCCCAUUUCAUGGAAUUUGCAGCAUCAAUUCCCAUUGUAUUCACAUGGAUAUUCCACCAUGUAAGUGCUGCGUCAGCGAAAGUACAUGCUGCAAAUCGUACUUUACAAUUAUCUGGACAAAAGCUUAUUUGAAAGACGGAUUCUGUCUUUUCUAUCCACCUUGUCAAAUUCACUACCCCUUCAUUUUCAUGAAAGAUUUUUGGCCUACAAUUCAUAAAAUAUUUGUAGGUACAUGUUCUAGCGGUCCCUACAUGGCCUUGAUUUCUAACUCCAUCUCUUGUGACAUUAGAUAGAGCCGCAACAAUUCUUUGAGCUAUGAUUUCUUCAAGUUGCACUGUACUUAUUGAGGGGUUUAUUUCUGGCGGUGGUUGUGGUGCUGAUAGUCGGUUAGGGUUUAGCCGAUUACUCCUUCUAGGCAUUUUGUUUUAGUUCUUAUUAUAAAUAAUAAGAAUUUUUUUAUGAGUUUUGUUGAUCAUUUAAUACACGAGUACUAAAUACUCUAGUUAUUAUUCACAACGUAAAACAUAAUAGACAACAUAAUGAUUACUAUAACGUAUGCUUCAUAUUAUUACCAGUGGUUACAUCAGUUUAUUUAGGUUUAUAAGAGAAAAGUUUCUAUAAACAUUGCAAAAUUUGCAAGGUUUUCUACAUCCUUGCUAUAAACUUUCCUCUUUUCGCCUUAACUAGUCUGAUUUUCUCUAUUUACAUAACCACUAGUUGUAGCUUAUCUACCAGAAACCUAAGUGAUGACCCAACACAUCAGUGACAUUAACCACUUGCUCUUCAAGUUCUUGAGUUCUCUGCUCAAGACUUCUCGCGUAUUCUUCAUUUAUUGAGGUUUGAUUGUAGAGCUCUAACUCUGCAAUCCUGGCAUCGUGAGUAAUCAUGUCAUUAUAAGCAAAAUUUAAACGAUGAUGGACAUCCAUCACCGAUUCCUGAUCUCGUGUCCUUUGUCCUUCUAGCCUUCGCACUCUUUCAGAGAGAUGAGUAGCCCUCCCUUCGACAAUUUCCAUCUUAUCUUCAAUUUUCAAACUUUUCUCAAACAAUUGAGAUAAAGUGUUAUCUUCAGAAGAAUGUGGGAGAUGUGGUCGAGAUGACUGACCAGUCUCAUACAUCUUGGCAGCUUUUUCUUCCGCCAUCCAUUUAUCAACCGUUUGUGCGAUCCGUGUAGGUUCAUCUUGAACUCUAUGAUUUCCUGAAGAUGUUUCCUUUUGACUCUUCUUAAGCUUUUGCCAUAUCGGUAUAGAUUUACGUGCAGUACGUUUCAUUUUACUCUUCCUGGAACUUUACGGUAAAGAGUGUUCAGUGGUGGUAGAGAUGAUGCCACCGACUCUUUCUCCUCCAUGGAUUCGCUUUCUUCCAUUGGUUCACUCUCUUCCCAUUCGUUGGAGGGUAAAGGUGCUCCAUCGUCAGAAGGUAUUGGAUGAAAGGUGGGGUGAGUUACAGGAUAGUAAGGAUCGCCUAACAUCAUAGGGAAUGAAAGUUCCUCUUCUUUAUCCGUAUCCUCGAUGAUUAUCCAUUCUCGUGAAUGUGCCAUGUCGGAUUCCUAUACAUUUUGGAAUUCCAAGAGUUUAGUCUAUCAAAUAUUUCUCCCAAAUUAAAUAGUUCAUAUGAUCUGAUCAUAAAAAAAUGUAGUUGCGCACCUACACCUACUUAUGAUAGGAUCUAUGUACAUAUAAACUUUAGUUGGAAUAUUUGAUCUAAAUCCUUGAGAUCAAAAACAUUUCGGGUAUUAAGGUGUAUUCUCAUCGCGGGUCUGAGUCUUUAUAUAUAACUUUAUAUUCUUAUUUAUUGUAUUCACACUUUUACUAUUGUUUGUUACUUCAGGUCUAUCUGAUAAGGCUCCGGCCAGUCAAGACUGUCGAAAGGGCAGGAUCAUUUUAGCAUAUAGCCGUUCUGAAAUCCAACAACCCAAAUCGACAUGUCUAUCUUUGUCACCGCUUCCUUAAGUAGUCCUUCAGUUGUAUAAUUAAUAAUACAUUUUAUUUAUAGGCUAAGGGAUAUACCUAAACCUAAUAGAGUAAGACCUAAACUAUAGACGCGCUUUCCUAAGAAAGUACUAGUUCACUAUAGUUAAUAGCUCUGAUACCAAUCUGUCACACCCCGGCCGUCGGCGGAAACACAUGGUAGUGUAAUGUCAAUUUUCGUAUCACAGUUAUAUAACAUACAUUGAACAAUACUUAAAGAAAAUGCAUACCUUUAUUGAUGAUUGAAAGUUACAUUAUUGUUUUCCUAGUAUUUAUUACAUAAUAUCCGACUAUGACAUACUUCUUAAUGAACAGAAAGAUACUAGUAAAACUUCACCUGUUCGAAUACAUACCAUCUUCUCAAGUUCCUGAAAACACAUGCAUCUUAAAAUACGCCAACAUAAAGUUGGUGAGUCCACAGGUUUUGACUCCAUAAAAUAAUACGUUUUUACACAUUCAAAAGUAUAGUUUUGAAAGUAUCAUUUUGACUCACCAACAUUAAGUAGAAUAGUAUACUUAUCAUUUAAGUGUUAUACCUAAACAUUUCUUAAUCUUAAGGUAUAAGUAGGGGAAAACUUAUACUUAACAUUAAUACUUGUAUACAACAAGGUAUAAUGUUUCUACAAUUUGCUACCAUGAGCCUGUAACCGCUGCUAUGACAUAAUACCUCUGAUAGAACAAUACACUCAUGAUUUACCAUGAGAACAAAUACACUCAUGAUUUAACAUGAGAAACAACACCGUACGCUUCAUCGACGCCGGAAUAAUAACAAAUAAAAGGAUAGUUCAUCACUUGUUUUUGGUUGACUGUAGCUAACAGUCACAAGUGGGGUGGUCAGACCUUAUACUAAUUAUACACGACUUCCUCGCUCACACGGGAUUAACGGUUACAGUUCAGAGGAUUUCCGCUAAGAUCCCCAAUCUUAGUUGAUGAAUACAAUUACUCAUGUAGACUUUGACGGCUUCCUAUAGCUCUAACAACAAAAGGAUCUUUAUGUGUAAAACCUUAAGUUACUAGACUACGCUUUUAAACAUUACUCCUAACUUCAUAAUAUUUAGGCAGCAUAACAGGUAUAUCUUGAAGUAAAAACCAGGUUUUAUCUGGACCUAAAACCAAUAAUAACAACAUAUAACGUUUCUAGUUUUAUCUUAACAUAAAACUAACAAUAACAACAUAUCCAGUUUUAUCUUGACAUAAAACUAAUAAUAACAACAUAUAACAUAUAUAGUUUUAUCUUGACAUAAAACUAAUAAUAACAACAUAUAACAUAUCUAGUUUUAUCUUGACAUAAAACUAUUAAUAGCAACAUACUAUAUAACUAAACAUUUAGAACUUUCGAAUAUUACUUCGGUAUUAUAUCACACACAACAUAUAUGUAGAAUCCUAAGUAUAACUCAAGAUCUGCAUUAGUAAAUUAACAUAUUGAUAAGUUAAUAAUAGUUGUAUGUAUUCAAAAUGUUAUAUUUAGAAUAAUCAUAUCUCGAUUAUCCAUAACUAUAUACUAUCAUAUGGACAUAAUAAUAACAUAUAUACAAUAACUAGCAUGCGUUUUCCCCCAAAAUAUUAGAAAGUGGGGCCAUGAAACUCACCCUAGUAGCGUUAUUUUAUGUUAUCUAAGCAAAACGGUCAGUGUGUGAGAUCGUCGGGGCUCAGGAUGCAAGAUGGCCUCAGCAAAGGAGAGAAAGGGAAGAAGUUUUGGUGUAAGAAUGGCUGAAGUCGGACCUGCUAUUUAUAGUAAGAAUUUUGGACUCUCACGUCGUGAGUGUCAUAAGGCUGACGUCGUGAGUUUUACAUGAUCACCCCGUAGACUUGCCAUUUGCGUCCCUAGCUUCGGAAGGUGGCCUUGUGACUCCUCACGUCGUGAAAAACUCUUUGUUCACGUCGUGAGUUUCGAUUUUAUCCCCUCGCAGCCUCGUCACAUCUUCUAGAUUCUGAGAUAUGGAUAAAUGACUCCUCACGUCGUGAGUAUCAUAAAGCUCACAUUGUGAAUUUAGUUAGAUUAGGGUUUCUGAAAGCUGAAUCUUUGGAAGGCCAUAACUUUUUCAUACAAACUCCGUUUUUGACGUUUUUAUAUGCACGCGUAGGUAUUUACGGGUACUACAACUCUCUUUUAGACUUAAAUAGCUAAUUCUAAGUCUAUUUUAAAUUCCUCUUAUUAUAGAUAUUUAUAGUGUUCGGUUUAUCAUAACUUCUUCAUGCGAAGUCAGACUCAGACGUUCUCUAUAUGUUUGGAAUCGUAUGGACAUAUACUUUGAGUUGUAACAUAAAGAAAGUUAAUAUUUGUAUUAGAAUUUAUCAUGAACUACAUAACACUCUUACCACAUUACUAGGUUAACAUAAUCACAUUACAUGAUUGGCAUAAUCACAUGUGAUUGUCUAUUGACCUAUUUUGACUAGUGUUACACAAGGGGUGAGUGUUGUUGUUGCUUCCACUAAAAAAACAGGCAAAAUGAAGAAGUUAAGAUCAAUAACAUUUACUUAAAAAAACAUUAAUAUUAAAUUUUAACUUAAUACCUACAAAGUUACGUCCUUGAAACCACCAUUGUUGCAUUGUUUCAUGAAAAUAAUCGAUCAACAUAACUAUCGGCACCUUACGUGCGAGUCUAGAUAAUGCAUUUAUAGACUCCACAUUGUUGGACGACAUUAGGUUGUAUCGGUUCCCUUUAAAAUGUGUGCUUGACCAAGUUUCUAGAUUUAUAUUUUUUAAGUACUCCCAUACUGGUUCUUUUGUCUUUUUCAUAACAUCCAUGACAACGUUAAAAGCAUCAACUGUGUACGCCCUACAAGCCUCCCAAAAAAUUCCUUUAACUGUGUUACUCUUCCUGAAUCUAGAUACUAUGUUGAAAUACAAAUGGACACCACAUAUUCUGUGAUGAGCGUGAGGAAAAAUGUUGGCAACGGAUGUCGCUAUAGAUGGAGACCUAUCAGAUAUAAUUGUAAGGUCCUGCAUAUUGCCUAUACAAUCACGCAGUUUUUGAAAAAACCAUGUCCAAGAAUCUGUACACUCAUUUUUGAAUAUACCAUCUGCAAACGGUAAUAUUUGGUUUUGUCCGUCCUUAGUAACUACAAGUAACAUGGUACCUUUGAACUCGCCCUUUAGGUGGGCUCGAUCUACUAUAAAGGUCGGUUUACAAAAUUUGACAAAAGCGUGUACCUACAAUACAAUGUAUAUCUAUUCAAAUACACCAAAAAAAUGAAAAAAUAAAAAAAAUAUUAAAAUACUAACCGAGCAACCAAGUGCGACGUACAAAAACUCAAAGCUAUCAUCACCAUCUGUUUUAAUAUGUGUCACCGUACCCGGAUUAUAUUUGACCAAAUUGUGGAAAUAAGCGGGAAGUUUGGUAAAAGAAUCCUCUUUUGUACCCCUUAACGACGACAAUGCAUAUUGCUUCGCACGCCAUGCCUGAUGGUAUGAGAUAUUGAUAUUCAAUUGAGCAUUCAUAUCAUUAAUAAUAUAUUUUCCCCAAUAAACUCUACUGUAAUCUUCAACCAAAACAUUAGCAAGAUAUUCACCCAAAUCAUAUUUGAUUGCUUGUCGAUGAUUAGGUUGCAAAAUUGUUGAAGAACAUGUGUGUACAUCAACAAAUUUAUUCACUUGGAAAAGUCCAUCAGAAUUUUUAAUUGCUUUUGAUCUUAGUAACCAAGAACAAUUUUUCGAAACACACACAUCCUCUUACCUUGAUUUGGUGGAUCUACUUGUCCUCGUCUGAAAACCUUCUCGAAGACAGUUGUUACCAAUACACCGCCUUAAAAGUUCUUUGUUCUUAAAUAUACUCUCACAUUCAAUCUUUUGAAGAUUGAUGUCUACCAUCUGUUUUGGGAUAUCUUCAUUAAUAUCAACUGGGCAUGUUGGUAGAGGGGGCAAACUCAACAUUAACUUCAUCACCCAACUCAUCUCCAUCUGAAUCGCUUUUUAAGUCGGUUAUAUCAUCAGCAACAUCAACAUAAUCCCCGUAAACAUGUUUUUUUUCGUCUUUUUGACGCUUAUUUUUUUCUUUUUACUUUUAUCUACUACAAGCCUAUUCAUAACUUUAACUUCUUGUUCGAGAACAUCAACACAACGACCACCCACGUCAUUAAGAUAUGUACCAAAUUUCAUCAUCGCCAACAUACUUGUAAUUCUCUGGAUCCACAUAGUUAAUAGGUGAAUGAUUGAAGACUAAUUCAGCAGCACUGUGAAAUUGAGGUACACUGGGAGUAUUGAAAGUACCUAUCGGAACGUUUCUCCCUUUAUAGUUGCAUAGAUUACCAACCGACCGAUUUCCACUAUGACCAACCUCAUUAACCUCAUCUCCUUCAUCAACCACCACAAACAGUUUUACAACCCUUCCUCCACUACAUUUGUUUACAUUUAUCAACAUUCUAACAUCCAUAUCUUUAAGUAUAGCUAUAUAAUAUUUCAAUUCAGGAUGAUGGAAAUGAAGACUAAUUCUAUAUUUGUCUAACAAACUAAUUUUGCUUCUCACCAAAGAUACAAAUUCACUAUAACUAAUAUACUCAUAAAAUAUCAAUGCGAAUUCAGAAAUACCUCCCUGAGGACAUACGUAUUCCAGAUUUGUUUCAAUAACUUGUCAUAUCCCACUGGUUACAAGACAAACCAAAUAUUCAAUCAUUUUUUUAGAGAGAUUUUAAAGAAAUUUCCUAAAGAAAUAACAACUAAACUGAUAAUUUUCUACAAAAGUUUAUAUAUAGUAAGGUUAUUUUGUAGUCAAACCAAUUGAUUUCAUAGUUAAAAUAAAAAAAAACAUAAUUUCGCAGAUGAAAUAGAGAGGAAAUCGCGGAUGGACUAUGUUCAUCUGCGAUUUAAGCCUGGUAAACCCCUAUAUAUACACAAAAUAAAUAAAUAAAUAAAUAAAUAAAUAAAAACCCACCUGCGAAUGUAUAACUGGCUAAAGCACAACUGUCCUUUAGCCACUUGUACAUUCGCAGAUGGGGUGUCAAAAUUGCUGAUGGACCAUUCCCAUCUGCGAUUUAUGUGGCCAAAUUUGUAAUUCCUAUUUUUUUGGCUAUUUUCCUCGAAGUCAUUAGUAUAUUUGGCUAUUUUUGUCAUUUUCUCCUUUAAAAUUUUGAUUGAACUUGUGAUUACCGGUAAAACAUGUGGAUCGUAUUCUUAACGAAAUAAAAAUUGAAGGACAAGAUCAAGAAAAUUUAAAAGUUUGUAAUAACUUUAGAUUUGGAUAAACUAUAUAUAAGAAUAAAAAACUAAUUUACAAAGCUAAUUUAAAAAAAACUUAUAUAGACUAACAUUUCAAGCGAGCACUUAAUUUUGCAUCUAAAUGUACCAUUUUAAAUUUUGUUACGUAACUUGUUUAUUAUCAUAAACUACCACCUUAGCUUAAUGAUGCUUCAAAACAAAAACACAUUAAGGUCAUGUUUGGAAAACUAGCUGGUAGCUGAAUAAUUGUGAAGAUGAUCGAUAAGCCUAAAGUUAAGUUUUGAAAUAUAAAUUGUUGUAUAGAUAAGAUCCUAGUUUUAAGGAUCUAUAGUAAGGUUUAUCUUGUAUUCAUAAAUCUAUAUAUAUCAGACGAAUCCCAAAAGCAUAUUCACCGUAAAUAAAUCUUCUAACUUGGUAUUAGAGCCAAGAUAUUUUUCUCAAACUCUACCCUUAUACCAGCUUUUUUGAUAUCCUUCCAAAAGAGCAUCUCUAAACAUGGUUUGCCCCUGUAAAAUCAUCCACCAUUGUUACUACCAUGUCCUAUAAACUAACCCACACCAAUUUCUUGUUAUGAAAGGCUCAGGUUGUUCCCAACCUAAAGGGAAUCCAACUGUUUGGGCAACUCGAUGGGUCCUUGUCAGCACCUGCUGCCACGGUGACUAAAAGAACUAGCACUCCUGGAAAAGAAAGAACGGAUGCGGCAAAAUAAACACCCAAUCCUGAUUACAUAAAAUUAGUGAUUCAGGAUCAAGCUGUAGUUGGAGGUCUAUUAUCCUCCAUGACAUUAGAAGUCCUUCCUCAACUUAUCCGUUGCAUCAACACAACACAAGAACGGUGGACAUCUCUUUACACUAUAUUUUCUGCCCAACAUCGAGGAAACUCCAUUAAAAUAUGCACCCAACUAUUAACCAUAAGUAAGGGAGAUAUGAGUGUUGUUGAAUACUACCAGAAGAUGACAUGUUUUGCCGAUACUAUCACAAAUAUUGGCCAACCUAUGAACGAUGAAGAAAUAAUUGGCUAUGUAUUAGUCGUUUAGGACCUAGAUAUAGUGAUAUCUUCACCGCCAUUACCGUGCUCUUCAACGAAUGCAAGGUAAAACUUCCAAAAUUCUACUCCUAUUUAAUUGCUCAUGAAGCCUAGUCUGCUGCCUUGCUCAUACCUUGACCUUUGUUCUUCUUGUUUCAAGUAUGAGCCCAUUUUGGAGGUUUUGGUCCCAUUCUUGGGUGCUCAUUUGGUCAUGAACUUCUGAGCUAGUGAGAAAAAGGUCUUAGCUUGAGUGUUUCUUUGCCCCAUGUUUGCGUCUUGAUCAUAUUAACGACUUAAUGGACAUAGGGUUUAAGAUCUUGUCUUAUGGUGAGGUCCUAAUGGAUAAAGUUGGACACUUUAUCCAUUAAGUCAGUGUGGAGAAGUAUAUCUGGAAGUAUGAGCUUAGAUAUGAAAUGAUUAAGAUCUUAAUGAUAAAAUGGUAAUUUUCCAGUGGCCACGAUGUGGCAAAGUUAGCCAUGGCAUGACGAAGACAAAAAUCACGACUAUCUUUUCGUGGUAUAGACACGACGUGGUCAAUGAGAGCCACAACAUGGCGUUAACUUUAACUGUUGCAUUUUUGACCAAGUUUGAAUUGGGUCAAACAUAAGGGUCUUGGCCUAUUAAUUAAGAUUCUACCUGGUUUUGGUAUUAGUGGAUUUACGGGAGCACACAGUGCAAAAAAGGAGUGCGUCACAGUAUUUAUGGGUUCUUCGAUUCAUGUGAGGUUUUUCCUCACUAUACUUAUGGGUCGAAGGCACCAAUGUCAGCCUGCUAGUUUUGGUUAUCAUUCAGUAGAGGGAUGUCUUAAGGACUGUAUGUGGUCAUUUAGGAUAGCCUAAGAAGUCGUGAUCUAUGCUAUCUUGCUUAUUCCUUGUUUGGUAGUGGAUCUAGAGUAGGAUCAUUUGUUUGGGUGGCUAUGUUACCUCUGAUUACUUAUGGUUACACAUUCCUUGGAUUUUUGGUUAUGUAUCCUUGUGUAUAGGAUGUUACUGACCCAUAGUGAUAUGCUAGAUUUAUGUAUAUAUCCUUGUAUGAUAAGAUGCAACGAGAGUAGUAUGCUGGUUAGAGUACUAGUAGGUUGGUUAUCGUCUGGUGGUGUGUCAUAGGGGUUGUAUGUAGUCAUGUAGGAUAUAGCCCAUAAACUUUUGAUCUAGGCUUUCUUGCAUGUUCCUUUUUUGGCCGUGUCUUUGGAGUAGGAUCAUAUGUUCGGAUGGCUAUAUCACACCGGUUUAAUUUAGGUUAUGCAUUUCAUAGAGGUUACCUGGUAGUAGAGCAGUGUGCUAUGAGAGGACUAGUAGGUAGUAAUGAGUUGUAUGAAUGAUAAUUUCCUAUAUUAUAUGCUUAAUUGAUCCUUUAUUAUUUAUAUAUCGUUAUAUGGUGGUGGGGUAGUUUAAGGUGGUCAUGUUGUGUGCUGGGCCAGGACACCUGGUACGGGCCAACUGAAAGUCGUAGGCACGGAGGCUCGAGAAGAGCAGUUGGGUUGAGGCAGCAAACCAAUAAACCUUGGCUAUUCCAGUCUGAUGACUGAUUGGAGUUGUUGCAUGUUAGCAUUCCAGUUUGAUGAUUAAUUGGGACAUGGUAUUCUAAUCUGAUGAUUGUGAGCCCGUUAUGCAUGAUAGUACGUUUGUUGUAUGGUGGAUUUUAGGGGAAACUCAAUAAACUUUGUGCUUACCUAAUUAUUUAUGUUUUCAGGUUCUAUCGAUGAUCGAGGGAAGGCGAGGGCAAGACUGUACACACUCAUCAACAACAUUGAGGAUUCCGUGUUUCUUAUAUUACUCUAUUUUUUGAUAAACGUAUUCUGGAAUAGCUAGGUUUCUUAAUAAUGGACUUAUAAUUAGGAAGUUUAGACAUAUUUAAAAUGAAAAUUGUUGGCUGUGAUAAUGAGAUGUUACUAUCUGCUCAUAAACUUGUCUCUAAAAAUGAUGUCUUUAAUUAAUUUUAUCGCAAUGUGUUUUUUUGUUAGGGACAAGGUCACGAAGAAAAUGAUUCUACUCCAUAGAAGAAAAUGAGUUCUUUAUCUGGUUCCAAUCAGUCGCUCCUCAUCCAGUACUCCUCAUCAUGCUUCAUUUAGUGUUAAGGUAUCUCCAUUGCAAUGAUAUCGACGUCUUGGUCAUCCAACUACUACAAUUGUCAAGUCAAUUAUGAAGUCAAAUAAAUUAGAGUGCUCUUUUAAUAAUGAGUCGUCUGUUUGUGAUGCAUGUCAACUUGCUAAAAGUCAUCAACUUCGUUAUAGUAAUUAUCUUUGAGUCACGUUAUCUCCAAUUGAGCUUGUCCACAUGGAUGUUUGGGGACCGGAUCAAGUGUCAAGUGGAGGUUUUUAAGUAUCAUGUCAGUUUUUUGGUUGAUUCCAAUCAUUGCACUUGGAUCUAUCUUAUUAACAAUAAUCUUGAUGCUGAACAAAUCUUUUAUAAUUUCCAAAAACAUGUUGAACAUCUGUUUAAUGCAAAAAUUCUACGUGUACAAUCUGAUUACGGUGGCGAGUAUCGUAGAUUGCAUAAGUACUUUCAAGAUAUAAGAAUAAUUCAUCGUGUGCAUGUCCUCAAACGUCACAACAAAGUGGUAUGGAUGAACGACAACACCUUCAUAUUGUUGAAACAGGUUUAGCUUUGUUGGCACACUCAUCUCUUCAUCUUUGUUUUUGGGAUGAAGCAUUUUUAACAUCAUGUUAUCUUAUUAACCACAUGCCUAGUUGUAUCACAAAUAAUAUUGUAACGACCGAAAAAUUCCAACCAAUUUAAAUUUUUCAAAAAAAACCCGAUUCCAUUAAAGUUAUUACAAAAAGGAUUUCAAUACAACUUAUUUAAAGUAUUCCCAGAAUCACAUCACGACAAAACAUGAGGAGCGGUACGAUCACGCCUUCGCCUUGCCACUGUCUCCUGAAGAACCUGAAAAACAUUAAACCACAACUGUAAGCCCGAAAGCUUUGUGAGAUAUCCCCAAAAUACCAACCACAUAUACCAUACACGCAUAACAUGCCAUAUCAUAUCCGAUCANCCCGCAUAACUGCCAUAUCAUAUCCGAUCAUAGAACAGCCAUGCACUCCGGGUCUACUGUGUCACUGGUCCGCCGCACCGGCCAACAGUCCACAUGGUCCAACAUCCGAGUCUAGCCAUAUACCUCGAGUCUGCAGUGUGAUUGGUCCGCCCGCAUCGUGCCUUCAAUCCACCUGGUCCAUUCUCCGAAUCUAGCCACAUACAUCGAGUCUGCAGUUUGAUUGGUCCGCCCGCACCCGGGCCUUCCAUCCACCUGGUCCACUCUCUGAGUCUACAGUAUGACUGGUCCGCCUGCACCGGGCCUUCAGUCGGCCUGGUCCACUCUCCUAGCCUCGGCACGUCUGGUUCGCCCUCUUGGGGCCUACAGCCUAUCCGGACCGCUCGCUGGGCCUUCGGGACAACCGGUCCGCCCUGGGUAUCUUGGCCUACAGCACAAAUCAGGACCCGCCUCAACCCAGUUCCAGUCCAAACAACCAUGUGCACAUAAACAUACAAUCAUAUAACAAUUCACAGUCAACAAACCGAUCAACAGAUCACAUAACAUAUCAUCAUCCUAACCAGGAUACCGACCUAACCGGUCACUAGCAUAGCAUCACCAUACAUCUCAGGAUACCGAUCUCAACCAGGUCUCUAACAUAUACCAUCCUAGCUAUCAGGAUGCAACAUAUCAAAGCAAUAACAUACAACAAUAUUUGGAUCUCAAUCCGAUCAAGGGCCGGCCUUGGUGCCUUAGACCAUGUUGAUAUAAUGAGGAUAACUCACCUCGAAACUGCUGACUGAACAGAUAACCCAAGCUGCUCCGAUCACUAAUACGAUCCCCACCACUGGACAACCACCAAGGCACUGAACUCAAAACAAUAUCCAACAAUUACCAAAAUUCCCCUGGAAAUCACUGAUCAACCCUUGGUCAAAGUCAAAGUCAACCCCUGACUGACUCUACUCGCCGAGUCAACCCAAUGACUCGCCGAGUCCCCAUGCUCAGAAAUUCCCCAAUCCNNNNNNNNNNNNNNNNNNNNNNNNNNNNNNNNNNNNNNNNNNNNNNNNNNNNNNNNNNNNNNNNNNNNNNNNNNNNNNNNNNNNNNNNNNNNNNNNNNNNNNNNNNNNNNNNNNNNNNNNNNNNNNNNNNNNNNNNNNNNNNNNNNNNNNNNNNNNNNNNNNNNNNNNNNNNNNNNNNNNNNNNNNNNNNNNNNNNNNNNNNNNNNNNNNNNNNNNNNNNNNNNNNNNNNNNNNNNNNNNNNNNNNNNNNNNNNNNNNNNNNNNNNNNNNNNNNNNNNNNNNNNNNNNNNNNNNNNNNNNNNNNNNNNNNNNNNNNNNNNNNNNNNNNNNNNNNNNNNNNNNNNNNNNNNNNNNNNNNNNNNNNNNNNNNNNNNNNNNNNCUAGGGUUUGGGACAUGAUGGCUUCACUAAUCACUCAAGAACAGGGACUUUCAUGCACUCUAAUCCUUCUCCAUUCCAGAUCUGAGGUAGCAACCUCAGAUCUAACCUCCAAACUCAAAACAUCACAAGAUAUGAUUCCCCAUAAACCCCAAAAUGAUGCAUCUAUAUGAAUAACAGCCCAAGAACGAGAUAAUACCUGAAAAGGAAGCCCCAACAACAAUGAAACCCGAAUCUAAGCAAAGCCCCUUGCUCCAAGCCUCCUAACCUUCAAGAUUUCCUCAACAAUCACUUCCUCAAGCCUCCAAAUGCACUUUGAUCCUCUCACACACGGCAACUAGGGUUUCUGGACUUAAGAGAGAGUAGAGAAGCUGGGGGAAAGGAUGUUAUGUUCUUUAUAUAAGGCUCAACCCCGAGAAAUAGGAUUUUCUCCACUCAGUGCCUACUCGCCGAGUCCAUCCUCUGACUCGCCGAGUCGGCCACUUAACACGCGACCAAAGUCGCGACCCUACUCGCCGAGUUCCCUUCCCAAUUUACUCUUUUAGCCCAUCAACUUUACUCUUGAUAUUCCGGGAUGUUACAAUUCUCCCCCACUUAAAUUAGGCGUCGUCCUCGAAGCCUGCGGCAACUCAACUCUAGAAAUACUCCCGCAACGCGCCACCUGGCAUUAACUAGACCAGGUUCCUCAAGGCACAACCAUCGAAACUCGAACUCACUUUCUCCUUUCUUACGGUGUCCUGACCACCGUCUCAAGCCGGCCACCGACUUUACUCUCUGAUAACCACACUUAACAACUGAGUACUAUCCAUGAUUCAUCACUUCUCGAAAUCACAACAAUCGCUCGACCCAUAUGAGCUAGAAAUAACCAUGAACCACCGGAUUCUCGAUCCGAGUCCAAACCUAUCCAUUCCAUGCUUGACAGGAAGACACACUCCUCAGUCCCAGAGCAACUUCCAUGAGUCCUCUUCUUACAAUCGCAAGCACAUGCUGCACUAGCUCUAAUACUCUCGGUUUGGGAAAACCCGUCACACUGACGACAUCUCCAAACAUCCCCCAGGAUGAACCACCACUACAUACACAAUUCCCUGACCAGAAUCACACUGGGAGCCCAAGACUCCCUCCCUACAUCCCUUUCGAGCCUCUUGGCUCUACACCCGCGGAAUUCCUUUCGCGACCUCAGAAAACCUCCCAAACCGGAUGUGAUUCCAUACCACUGCCACAAUCACGCUGCUCAAUGACCAUACUUGGAUUACUCCAAACACAACUCUGCACUGCUGCUUUCACUUCCAUGAACUUACACUCCCUCUCGGAGCUACAUUCUUCCCUUUCCUUACCAAGGAAAACCACUUGGCUGCCUUGACACUACCACAAGCACCACGGCGCUCGCCUAAUGCUACACCACUCCUUCAUAGCUUAACCGCUAUCCAUCCAACACACAUGCUCUGACUCUGCUCGCAGGGACUCUCAAGCCCAUGCACUAUCUCCACUACUCAAGAUCAAUACCCGGGGCCAGACCUUCUAAUGCUAUCACACCGCAACAUACACAAACCAUAUCCUCGAACCGAUCCAACAAUACCUGCAAAGUCUUCAGCAUGACUGGACCGCCUCACCAGGCCUUCAGCCAAUCUGGACCACUCUCAGAACCUUCAGCCAAUCUGGACCGCCCUCCAGUGCCUUCAGUCUGGCUGGACUGUUCUCUGAGCCUUCGGCCUGACUGGUACGCCGACCGGCCUUCAGUCUAUCCGGACUUCUCAACCAGCAUUCCUCAUUCCGAAUUAUCUCUCCAGGGAAUCCUCCCUUGCAUACUGUUCUAGCCUUCUAGGGGUUCCGAACUCUAUCUCCAUCACACAACUCAAUCUCGGCCUGAUCCCAAACCCUCCGCAAAUAAGUACCCUUGGUCUGUAUUCCGCCCCGCAUGCCUGCCACUUACUCAUGCCAGCCUACGCUCUUGGCUGACAGAACACUGCUGAAUCCCAGACAGCUCAACAAUCUCACAUACUCAUCGAUCAUCCGGAGAAUUUUCCAAUUCUCCCCCACUUAGGGCACUGACUAUCAACCACCGGUCGCUAUCACCGACCUCCCAAAACAACCCUGCACAACACCACACNUUACACGCGGACUGAUUCCCUCUACCACUAGCAACCUUCACAAAAAUCAAAUUUCCACACUGAUCAUCCCGCUCGAAAGAAACUCAAUCNAAAACAACUCAACAAUCUCACAUACUCAUCGAUCAUCCGGAGAAUUUUCCAAUUCUCCCCCACUUAGGGCACUGACUAUCAACCACCGGUCGCUAUCACCGACCUCCCAAAACAACCCUGCACAAAACCAGCACUUACACGCGGACUGAUUCCCUCUACCACUAGCAACCUUCACAAAAAUCAAAUUUCCACACUGAUCAUCCCGCUCGAAAGAAACUCAAUCUGCAGCUAACUACUCCUCAGAAAGCAGAUGCUACCAGGCAUUCCGACUAACGCCAGAUUCCACUAAUAACCCUCAUGAAUAAUAACCAACGAAAUUCCCAUACAAUAACCCAUAACCAAACCGUAACCCUCAAAAACAACAAAUACCACACCAAAACCACACAAUGAGACUAACAAAUAACCGAUACUCCACAAUAGCCAUAAGAUAAACAAGACAUCAAGAAAGAAACAUACCCGCAGCUGCAUCCGGCACUGCUCUGACCUCCUCUGCUGCAAGCUGAAAGGCACGACCCUGAGCCCUUGGGGGCUCCGCUCCACCCUGACCUCCACCCGUGAUCCUCAAAGUGGUCGGUGCUAGAGCCUGCACCAGUCCUGCAGCAAGCUGUGGACAGUUGACCCUCAAGUGCCCAACUUGAUGACAAUGAUAACAAAUCCUCAAAUCCCGAACCGGCGUUGACUGCCGACAAUCCCUCGCAUAGUGCUCCUCCUUUCCACACUUGCGACAUGCACCACCGGACCUACAAACUUCGGUGUGACUCCUCCCACACUUCCUACAAGUGUGGCUACUCAGAUCUCCCAUCCUAGAAUCAACGGCCUUGGAUCAUUUCGGCGCCGGCUGCGACUGCACCAGUGCCUGCCUCAGAUCACGCAACUGCAACUCAAUCUCUAACUCACGCCACCUGGCGGCCUCCUGCAACUCCAACAAGGUCUCGCAUCUCUGCGUAGACACAAACUGUCUGAUAUCCCUCUUGAGUCUGCUCAGAUAUAGAGACAUCUGAGCCUGCUCCGAAGCGAACUCAGGGCAGAACAUCGCCCUCUCAGUGAACAUCCUGGUGAUCUCAUUCACUGACUCUGAACCCUGCUUCAGCUCAAGGACCUCCUAAGCGAAUCUCUCUCUCUCAACUCGCAGAACAUAAUGAGUGCUGAACAUCUCUCUGAACUGAUCCCAUGAAACCGCAGCCCUCUGCGCAUCCGAAUAUGACCCAGUGGUCACUCUCCACCAAUCCUUCUCCCCGAGCCUCAACAGGUUCAGAGCACACCUCACCCUCUGAUCAGCAGGGCAUGAACACGUGAAGAAACACCCCUCCACGUCCAAUAACCAUCUCAUAGCAACAAUCGGGUCCUGAACUCCAUCAAAGUUGGGAGGCUUCGUAUUAUCGAAGUCCCGAUACUGAAAACCCUGACCAGCUCCUUCCCCUGCCGCNNNNNNNNNNNNNNNNNNNNNNNNNNNNNNNNNNNNNNNNNNNNNNCAAAAGACUCCCAUGGCGGUCUUGAUCGACCCAAACAGUUUCGGCAACUCGGCCCGGAACAACGCAACAACCUGAUCAUGUAGGAUCUCACGAAUCCUCGCAUCCAACUUGCAUGUGCUCAUCUGACCAAUAACCUCGGGCAGUACUGACCUGCCCGGGACCCCCUCUCCUGCUCCCGUUCCUGAUUCGGAUCCACUCCCAGCAUGUCUAGGAAUCUCCAUACUGAAAUAACACCACAAAAUCUCAGACACUUCCCACUAACCCGGGAACCAACUCUCAACCCCACCCUAGAGGUCAUGGUUUCCCUGAUACGCGUAUGGGUCCUGUGCUUUCAGUAGUACGGGCCCAUACUACCUUCCACACCUACCCAUAUUUGUAUGAAGUACUACCACAACACCCUAGUGAAAACAUGCAUAACAACCCUCAACCCUCACCACUAGAGGAACACUGAAAAUCUCCCACAAGGAAACCCUAGGCUACAGGCAUCACAAAUCAGGCAACAUUAUCAUGAAAUCCUGAAGAUCCCUAGCCUAGCACUAGCAUGCUGUUCUAACAAAGCUCAAAAAAAAAAAUCUCAUGUAUGGUGUUUUGGGGUUACUUACUGGCUCCGGCUGAUCGUACCUCCGCGUCCUCCUUUACUCAUUUUGAAAACCAUUUUAAAUUCUCUUUUGAAAACUCUCCUCGAUUUGAGACUGGAGUCACACGAGUGUUCCUCCAAUUCACUCAAACCAAGGCUCUGAUACCAACUUGUAACGACCGAAAAAUUCCAACCAAUUUAAACUUUUCAAAAACAACCCGAUUUCAUUAAAUUAUUACAAAAAGGUUUUCAAUACAAUUUAUUUAGAGUAUUCCCAGAAUCACAUCACAACAUAAACAUGAGGAGCGGUACGAUCACGCCUUCGCCUUGCCACGGUCUCCUGAAGAACCUGAAAAACAUUAAACCACAACUGUAAGCCCGAAAGCUUAGUGAGAUAUCCCCAAAAUACCAACCACAUAUACCAUACACGCAUAACAUGCCAUAUCAUAUCCGAUCACAGAACAGCCAUGCACUUCGGGUCUACUGUGUGACUGGUCCGCCGCACCGGCCAACAGUCCACCUGGUCCACCCUCCGAGUCUAGCCAUAUACAUCGAGUCUGCAGUGUGAUUGGUCCGCCCGCUCCGGGCCUUCAAUCCACCUGGUCCACUCUCUGAGUCUACAGUAUGACUGGUCCGCCCGCACCGGGCCUUCAGUCGGCCUGGUCCACUCUCCGAGCCUCGGCACGUCUGGUCCGCCCUCUUGGGGCCUACAGCCUAUCCGGACCGCUCGCUGGGCCUUCGGGACAACCGGUCCGCCCUGGGUAUCUUGGCCUACAGCACAAAGCAGGACCCGCCUCAACCCAACUCCAGUCCAAACAACCAUGUGCACAUAAACAUACAAUCAUAUAACAAUUCACAGUCAACAAACCGAUCAAACAGAUCACAUAACAUAUCAUCAUCCUAACCAGGAUACCGACCUAACCGGUCACUAGCAUAGCAUCACCCUACAUAUCAGGAUACCGACCUCAACCAGGUCUCUAACAUAUACCAUCCUAGCUACCAGGAUGCAACAUAUCAAAGCAAUAACAUACAACAAUACCCAGAUCUCAAUCCGAUAAAGGGCCGGCCUUGGUGCCUUAGACCCUGUUGAUAUAGUGAGGAUAACUCACCUCGAAACUGCCGACUGAACAGAUAACCCAAGCUGCUCUGAUCACUGAUACGAUCUCCACCACUGGACAACCACCAAGGCACUGAACUCAAAACAAUAUCCAACAAUUACCAAAAUGCCCCUGGAAAUCAACUGGUCAACCCUUGGUCAAAGACAAGGUCAAAGUCAACCCCUGACUGACUCUACUCGCCGAGUCAACCCGAUGACUCGCCGAGUCCCCAUGCUCAGAACUUCCCCAAUCGCGACUCAACUCNAAGACUCGCCGAGUCCAGCAACUCUGAGUCUACUCACACACAACUCACCGAGUCAUCCCUUGACUCACUGAUUCUCAGAUCAACCAUAAUGGAUUUGGACUCUUCGACAAGGCUCACCGAGUCCAAGAACAGACUCGUCGAGUCUAAGUCUAUCUUCAACUUACUCACCGAGUUGUUCUUCCAACUCGCCGAGUUCCAGGCCAUCUUCAUCCAACUCGCCGAGUUCCAGCCUAUCUUCAAGCAGCUCGCCGAGUUCACCCUUGUGACUCGCCGAGUACCCCUAGAUCUGAAACCAUACAGAGGCUUUCCAAGCCAUGCAGAAGCUCUAAACCNUUGCCCUCCUACAACCCAUCCAUCACGUAAAGUGGCAAACUUUAUGUGAAUCCAAAGAGAUCUAGGCAUUUUACACUUUAGGGCUAGGGUUUGGGACAUGAUGGCUUCACUAAUCACUCAAGAACGGGGACUUUCAUGCACUCUAAUCCUUCUCCAUUCCAGAUCUGAGGUAGCAACCUCAGAUCUAACCUCCAAACUCAAAACAUCACAAGAUAUGAUUCCCCAUAAACCCUAAAAUGAUGCAUCUAUAUGAAUAACAUCCCAAGAACGAGAUAAUACCUCAAAAGGAAGCCCCAACAACAAUGAAACCCGAAUCUAAGCAAAGCCCCUUGCUCCAAGCCUCCUAACCUUCAAGAUUUCCUCAACAAUCACUUCUUCAAGCCUCCAAAUGCACUUUGAUCCUCUCACACACGACAACUAGGGUUUCUGGGCUUAAGAGAGAGUAGAGAGGCUGGGGGGAAGGAUGUUAUGUUUUUUAUAUAAGGCUCAACCCCGAGAAAUAGGGUUUUUUCCACUCAGCGCCUACUCGCCGACUCCAUCCUCUGACUCGCCGAGUCGGCCACUUAACACACGACCAAAGUCGCGACCCUACUCGCCGAGUCCCCUCAUGGACUUGCCGAGUUCCCCUUCCCAAUUUACUCUUUUAGCCCUUCAACUUUACUCUUGAUAUUUCGGGAUGUUACAAAUAUUUCUCCUAUUGCACGACUGCUAAGUCAUGAUUAAUCAUUCCUACGUAGCAUUGGAUGUGCAUGUUGGCCUAGCCUAAGGAAAUAUAAGUCAUAAAAUUGCGUUUAAGUUAGAAUAAUGUGUGUUCCUUUCCUAUAAUUCCAUACACAAGGUGUAUAAAUGCCUUGAUCGAAAAACUGGUCAUGCAUUCGUUUCUAGAGAUGUCAUCUUUGAUGAGUCACGUUUCCCGUUUGUAACCUAAUCAUGUCAAACUACUCUAUCUCAUUUGUCGAGAUUUGCCUAUUUUCCUCACACUGAACCAAAAAUUACAAAUGAGCACGUGAGAAAUUAUGAUAUGUCUCUUUUAUUUCCUAAUACGACUCAUGCAGCUGCAACACCACAAACAUUACCAAUUACCUUUUUGUCAUCUUCGCCCGGGGUCCACUACAAAUCUGGCACCUUGUUCUCUAAAUCUUAGUUCACAUGCGAAUGCAAUGCCGCCCUCACCACUUGUCUGUUUUGAGUCAUCCUCACUAAAUGACAUCACCCUAGUAUCACCAAAUGUUAACACACCAGUAACACCGGCACCACCAUCUAUUGAUGAUGUUACUGCUAUUUUCUUCUACCCAUGGCUGACACAUGUUCUCCUUCCAUUACUUCUAACUUACCACCACCAAGGAUUAUUACUCGCAGGUGAUGGGUUUUGAGUAUUCUAACACUUACAAAGUGUACAUGCAACCCUAAUAAUCUUGGAUCUAUGUUUGUCUAAUUAUCAUACAAAGUUGAAUUCCAAGGUUAUAUUCCUAUCUAGCAUACAUGGGGAACAUUUUUAACUUGACUGAAAGAUAGAAUAACUUACCUUGUUGUUGAUUAUGAUCCUUGAAACCUUGUGAGCCUAGCACCCCAAGUGUGAUGCCUCAAAUGCUUCACACAACACCAAAUUCAAAGGAGUAAACUUUGAGAGAAUCUUACACUUGCAAAAUUGGCUCUAGCCCUCUUGUUUCUUAGUGUAGCCGAUUUUGGUGGAGGAGAUGGUCUUUAUAUAGUGUGACACAUCUAGGGUUACACCAUGUAAACCCUAAUGUGUCAUGGCUCUUCAUUUCCAUGACACAUAGGUUUGUAACUCCCAUGGAGCAUCCAUGGAGCAUCUUAUGGGUUUAACCCAAGUUGAUAAUCCAUGGAGCCUCUUAGCCCACUAUAUAAUAUAUGGAAGAUUUACAUAAUCUACCCAUAUAUUUAAUUAGUUAUCUUUUGAUCACUUAAUUAAUUCUAAAUUAAUUCUUGAUCAAACUAAUUAAAUAAUAUUAUGAAUAUAUUAAAGCUUAUAAUAUAUUAAUAAACCAUAAGUGUUAUUUCUCUCAUUUUAGUUUAUAAAAUUGCAUGGUGCCAUGAAACCCAAAUGGACCAUGCCGGGUCGGGUCAAGUACAUACCAGAAAUAGUUAUGGACUUAGACAUCUUAUCCAAUAGUCUCCCACUUGGAUAAGUCUAAUAACUAUAACUGUAAUACUUCAGGAACCGAUCGACAAUCGUAGCUCUUUCAAGGUCUCUCGAAACUGAGAAGAUGAUGAUACACCAUUUUAGAUAAGUGAUCAUAUAAUUCUCUGUUCUAGAUAUCAAUCGGACAAAUACAUGGAGCAAUAUCUUACUUAUUGUCCAACAGUUUGUUUCCCGAUUUCCGAUUUGUUUGACAAAGAACUUAAUUGAACACAUCAAAUUAGUUCUGACCGGGCCCGGUACAUACGUCAAAACAAAAUCAUCGAGGGGCCCAGAUAUCAGCUUCUAAUCCAAGAAGGAAUAGAUAAACUUUGACUCAUAUGGUUCUACUACUCAUUGAAUUAUACACAAGAGCAUGUUUUAUAACAUCGAGUUACCAAUGCGUUUUCGUAUAAUCAAUGCAUAACCAACUCAUAAGUAACAAAUCAUAUCUCUAGGUUUGAAGACUUAUAUGAUAUUACCAUCUCACGAUCAUUCAAGAUAAAUUCCAUGAAGUGAUUCCAGUGAGCGUGGGUUUAGUCCAGUGCUCAGAACUUAUGAGCACUCAUGAGUGUUGUAGCCAUGUCUAACCACUUAGACCUCUGCAACCAAUCAUGACAGUCUUGAUUCAUACCUACUUCUGACAUAUGACCGACUGUGGAGGUUCGAAUAAUAUGAUAUACCAAACAUAAUUAUUCUGGAAGUCAAAACAUGCAAA
rnacentral:lncRNA from 1 species